rnacentral:lncRNA from 1 species
AACCACAUGCUAUACGAGUCUGAGAACUUGUCUGGGAGAAAAUUCAGCAAAAGCUCGUCAACCUAAUUCGCAUCUCAACUUUGAACGUUUACCUGAUAAUUAAUUAGUGCCCAACCCAAGUUUUGGUAUUACAGAAGCUUUUGAUGAGACGGAUUUCUGUGUUGUUCAACACGAGGCGUGCUCUUGAAACUGGUUUUAUGCAUAAAUUGCGAGAAGGGAUUUUUGGCUCUUAUUGAAUUUGUUAUGUGUGGCAUCUUUGGGUUCAUCGGUGCAGAAACUGUGCUUCUUGCAAAAUGGAUUUUUACAUUCAUUAAUAAAAAAAAUUGAACAAUGGGUUUGCUUCUCGUUUUGUCAGUAGAAAAUGCUUAAGAAAUGGGUACAAUUUCAAAUGUAUUAAAAUGAAUUUUUUUUUUAAUCAUAUAUGCUAUCUAAUCAAUGGGAACAAUAAUGCCAAGAGUCUGAGCUGACUUAUUGAAGUAUCGUGGAUAAUCCACAUACUAAAAAAUUUCAAGAAACUGCAAUUUUUAAUAGUGAGAACAUAAAAUUGAAUGACAGGUUUUUAAUAAUUAAGGGCCUUGUUUUGGCAUUUAUUUCAUUAGCAGUAGGAGUAGGAGUAGGAUGAACCAAACCGACCGACAACGAUGAGUCAAGAAGACUCAAGAGACUUGAAAUGCUGCCAAUUUAAUAAAAUGUGAUAUAAUUAUCUGUAGCGAUUUUUUACCGUGGUAUUUUUGGGUUAAACCCCUUGAGUUUGCAGCAACUUCAAAUUCAUGUUUUGGGUCGGCGACAUUGAACUUGUCUAUUUGUAUUUACCGCGACUAAAUUGGAUUAAACGAACCACAACUUAUCUAACCGGAUUCACAAACUCCACACUAUUCCAUUUAUCCCUGUGUUUAAUCAUAAGAUAUACAGAGAAAUAACUCCACACUUACGCCUCUUGCUUCGACGUUUGUCCACAUUUCAGUAAGCCUUUUUUGCACUCUUGAGAGUUUUAUUGUUUAUACUACUAGUAUUUCACCCGUGCGAUGCACGGGGCAUUGAGUUGUAACAAAUAUUUGAUAAUAAAAAAGUUCUUGAAAUACUAAGAUGAAUGGUUGAUAUGCAAUAACAAAGUAGUAGAAAAAUAUUUAAUAAAAAACUAUUUGGUAUGAUGUAAGUGAUCAAUUAAGCCAAAAUAAGUGGAAAAGUUAAAAAUCGAAGGUUUAUUUUCCGUAUACAAAGAGUGAAUACAUCGUUGGUCCCAAACUUGUACAACCAUAACGACCAAUAAAUUCAAAUUCUUAAUUUGAUGCAAACAAUUAUUGUUAUUGCGUUUGAUAACAACCGCCCUAACGCAUGUAUCCAAUACAGUGCGAGUAACCUACAUAUUUUAUAUAGUGGUCAUACGAAAUAUCUAAUAAUUACCAAAACAACAACAAUAUAAAUGUUUAAUGAAGUAAAAUCAUUUUACACUAAAUUUACCUUGAUAAAACAUCUUGAGUGGAAUCGAUAGUAAGUUCAUAGUACAAUACGAAUUACGAAUAACCGUACAUAUAAGUAAUAAAAAAUUAAAGGUUGUUAUUUAAUAAUGUAUACAAUUUUACAUAGUUACCUUAAUAUAUGCAGAAAAGUUUCCAGGUGUACCAUUGUUUGUAACGUUGGUCGUAUCGCCAGAUUCCUAUUUGAUAAAAAUCUUACAUAAGGGUUAUUUAAUUGAACAGGUUGCACACCAGAUUGGGAUAAACAAACUCGAUAAGAUCCAAAAAAUGAAUUGAAAGAAUCACGAAUCAGCAUGUCAUCGGGAAUUUCAAUUCAAGUACUGUUUUAUUAAUAUCAAUCCUAAUCAUAAUCCUCAAUUUAUUUUAUGCUACACCCAAUAAAAUACACUGGGUAGAUCUUUACCAUUCAUAGGCACAUAAACACACAAACACACACAUUGAUGUGUGGAUCAAAGGUAAAAAAAUCACCCGGUAUAGUCUUCAUCGGCUGUAGCAGAGAAAUAACUCAUAAUCCUCAUACUAAUGUUAAUACUAAUAAUAUUAUUACAUAUAUCAUAUUAUAAUGCUAACUUUAAUAUACUAAUGUCAAUACUAAUACUAAUAUUAAUAUACCAAUAACAAUAACAAUACCAAUACUAAUCCCAAAACAAAAACCAACACCAACACCAACACCAUUACCAUUACCAUUACCAUUACCAAUAACAUUAUCAUUACCGUUACCAUUGCCCUUACCAUUGCCGUUAAAAUUGCCAUUACUAUUACCAUUAUCAAUACUAUUACCAUUGUCAUUACAUGUACCAUUAUCAAUACCAAUAAAAAUACUAAUACCAAUAUCAAUACCAAUACUAAUACCAAUACCAAUGUCAAUACCAACACAAAUACCAAUACUAAUACCAAUAUCAAUAUCAAUACUAAUACCGAUGCCAAUACCAGUAUCAAUACUAAUACCAAUACCAAUAGAAAUAUCAAUAACAAUAAAAAUACCAUUAUCAAUACCAUUACCAAUACCAUUACAAUUAACAUAACCCUUACCAUUACUAAUAAUCGUAAUCCUAAUCCUAAUUGAAAUUAUAAUCAUAAUCCUAAUCGUAAUGCUAAUGUUAAUUAUAAUAAUAAUCAUAAUUCUAAUCAUAAUAAUAAUGCUAAUGCUAAUCUUAAUCCUAACACUAACUCUAAUCAUAAUUCUAAUAAUAAUAAUAAUACUGAUCCUAAUUCUUAUCCUAAUAAAAAUCGAAAUAUGCUAAUGAUAACGCUAUUCUUAAUACCAAUCCUAAUAUGUUAAUGCUACUGCUAAUCCUAAUCCUAAUUUUAAUCAUAAUGCUAAUACUAAUACUAAUACUAAUUAUAAUCAUAAAGCUUACCCUAAUACUAAUAUACAUACUAAUAUUAAUCAUAAUAUGUCAAUGCUAAUGCUAAUAUUAAUGCUAGCAGAAUACUAAUAUUAAUACUAAUACUAAUACUAAUAAUAAUAAUAAUACUAAUACUAAUACUAAUACUAAUACUAAUACUAAUACUAAUACUAAUACUAAUACUAAUACUAAUACUAAUACUAAUACUAAUACUAAUACUAAUACUAAUACUAAUACUAAUACUAAUACUAAUACUAAUACUAAUACUAAUACUAAUACUAAUUGUAACACCCCUUAAUUUUUUAUUAUGAGGUAUAAUAUUAGUUUAUACAUGUAUAUUAUUGAAGUUUAAAUACUAGAAAAUAAUUUAGUAUAAAUUAUGUGACUUAGAUGUUAUUGAUAUAUAAAGUUGGGGACUAAGAAUAAAUAAGGUAAUUUACAAGGGCUGAUAUAGUAUUAAGGAAGAGUUAAGGCAGAUAAUGAUUCAAAAUAUUUAGACUUAGGCAGCAAGGAUCUGACGUUUAAGAGGAUAAUUAUAAGAUUAAGUAAAUUUUUAGGAGAAGACACGUAUUAGACGAGGAGUCAUCUUCUCCCUUCACAUUCAUCUGAUCUACCCCAUUCUUUAAAAACCCAUUCUGCGUAUCUCUUUUUACACCAUCUCUCAUCAAGUUCCUAUCAAGAAAUCACAAACAAAUAUCAUGUCCCAAAAUCAAGAAAGAAAUCAAAGUAGGAAGAAGCUCAUAUUCAAUCAUCGAAGAAAAGAUGGUGACUUGACGAUCUUUCCGGCGGAGUUUUGGCGAGCGGGGUAUAGGGCUCGAAAGCCCUCUGUAUAAGCUUCGUUUUGGUGGAAGUUUCCGGCUUGUUUCUCCGGUGGUGAUAGUUGUGAUCCGACGGCGAAGUUCAGCUGAUCCUAAAACCUUUCGGAUUUAAUUAGAGGUAUUUAGAAUUGAAAUUUCGGAUUUAUUUCUUCACCAAAACUGUAGAAUAGGUUGAAUAUUGUUCGAAUGAUUGAUUUUCCCCAAUUUGUUUAGAAUCCUUUUUGGAACUGAUUUUAAUUCUACAAUAGCUUCAAAGAUUUUCGAAAAUAAAACUUGUAGUUGUUACUCUGAUUUUCGGAACAGAAUUUGGGAGCUUUGGAAUUCGAAUUUUAAAAUCGUUUCUUCUCAAACAUCAUAGAUUUUCUGGAGUACGUUAAUUAUAUGUUGAAGCUCGUUCCAUAUGAUUGAGUUCUAUAGGCUUUUUGAACGGAGGAAUAUGGGCGUUGAAAGCUGUCAAUUCUGGCAGCUCGUAUGAUUAAUCUUGUGGGGCUGUUUUCUGUAUAUUCAAGAUAUAAUUUGAGUUUGAUGUCUUCUGUCCAUUUGUAGAUGAAGUCGUUAUGUUCGAUUUCAUAUACUAUUCGUUAAAUUUGGAUAACAUUUCGAAUUAUUACGAUUUUUCAAAAAUACUGCCAGAAAAAGGAUUUUGUAAAUGCCGGCAGUUUAUAUUAACCUGUUCGGGGGCUGUUUCAACUAUGUUAUGCUCAAAAUUUCAAAAUGGUUUCUUCAUUAAACUCUUAGAUAUCGUUCUUGGCUUUAAUUUGGUAUAUCAUUUGUUCUGUUUCGAAAAAAAUGUAUAGCAUGUUAUUAAUUUUCAAAUAAGUUGUACCAGAAAUGAAUUUUAAAAUGUUUGACAGUCCUGUUAUAGGCUGGUUUUUGGAAAUUCUGCUAUUUUUGGUUCAGAAUCAGGGGUGAAAGUCUUCUGUGAACUCGUAGUAUUAUUUGUUAGCUUUCAUUUGGUAUAUCAUGUUAGCAAUUUGGAUAAACGUGGAAUUUGUUAUGAAUUUUUGAAUAAACUGUGGCAGCACAUACGUUUUAUUAUUAUGUUAAGAAAGUCGUCAUAUAUGAACAUAUUUUAUUGGUCUUCGUCCUGGUAACAUAAACGUGAUGGUUAUGUGGUAAGUUUUGAUGUUAGUUACGGGGUUAGAUUAAUUUAGAAUUGGUAAGUGAAUUAGUCGACCUUAAGAACAUAUAAAGCUAGGAAACGUAGAGUGUAUAUUAUUUCAUUUUAAUAAAUAAUUUGGUGUCUUAUAGUUUAAAUAUUGCUUAGGUCUUGAGAUCGAGGAACCGUGAUCGACGAGUACUCUUGAUUGGACCAAGGUGAGGGUUCUCUUGCUCGACCUUUUCUGGGAAUAUGAUAAACUCGGGUAAUUGUAUCGCUCGAGUACUUGAAUUUUGCUCCCUUUCAUUGAAUUGAUCUACUCGUUAUCAUUUGAUUAUCGUUAUUUGAAAUUGAUUGGAUGAUGUUGAGCUUGAGAUUAUUUGAGAAAUGCUAUCUUAUCGAGUGUUCAACUCUUUGAUUUCCAUUUCCUUCGAAUAGUACUUAUCGAGUGAUCGGUAUGAAAUUCUUUGAAGCCGAUCGUUUUCCUUCAAGUUUUAUUCAAUUAUCUAAACUUCAUAUCUUGAAACAUCGAGCCCUCUUUGAAACCUUUCACUUGAUCCCAUUUCUUCGGAAUUCUUUUGUCUUUGAAAUCCUGAAAUAAUCAGAAUAAUAUGGUAUUCUUAUAUGAUCGAUAAAGUCCUUUUGGGACGCCUAAAGGACAAUGGAUAUUAAUGGGCCCGGGGCUGUUUGGAGGUGACCGCUGGGCGGUAUCGGGCCGACGGUGGGUAGUCUCUCCAACAGUACCCACAUAGGUUUAGACCCGUACACAACUGGAGGUUAGUUGGGUUUCGGGCUAAACCGGCAUGCGCCCGGGCAUGCCACAUUGCAUUACAGGGUCAUUCCCUGCUUGGUGAAUAGUAAACGGCUACGGGAGUCACAAGGUAGGUGUAUUCUUAUCUCUAUUGAUCGGAAAAUUUAUUGAUCAUCCUUACUAUUAUUCUUGAAUUUCCAAUCGAUGGAUAAUCUUUCAUCGCUUCUAUUUUCCGAUAUCACCAAUUGGUUCGAUCAUCAUACUUUCUCUCGGAUCAUGUCGUAACUCGUUAUUCUUAUAUUUCACCUCACUAAGUCUUCUAUGACUUAUCCCUCUAUUUUAUUCUGUCAUAUUCUCAGACGCAGGUGCAGGCUCGAAUGAAUCAGGGGAAUUCCAGUCUGAGUAACUACUUUGUAUAUAUUUGUAAAUUAGUGAAUUGAAUUAAGUUCCCAAUAAUCGCUGUCUUAUAUUAUAUAUAUCAGCGUUUGAACUUAUUUAUGUUAUAGUAUUGUAAUCUCAUAAGCUAGGAGCUGUUGUUAUAAUUAUUCGGAACCUUUGUACUUUACCUUGCUAGAAGUGAGGUUGUUAAUAAAUAAAUCGUACGUAUUUUUAUGAACUAUAGUUUGAUUAGUAAUUAGUAUUAUCCAUGAAAAAAAAAAAAAUAGACCGGGUAAUUUCAUAGAGUAAUUUGACAAACGCUUCAUAGAAGGCGGGCGUCACACUAAUACUAAUACUAAUACUAAUACUAAUACCAAUACUAAUACUAAUACCAAUAUCAAUACUAAUACCAAUACCAAUACUAAUACCUAUAUUAAUACUAAUACUAAUACUAAUACUAAUACUAAUACUAUUACUAUUAGUAAUAAUAAUAGUAAUAGUAAUACUAACACUAAUACUAAUACUAAUACUAAUACUAAUACUAAUACUAACUAAUACUAAUACUAAUAAUAAUACUAAUACUAAUAGUUAUACUCAUAUUAAUAUUGUUAGUGAUACUAAUUCUAAUACUGAUAUUGGUACUAAUAAUGCUAUUGAUACUGAUAAUAAUACUAAUACUGAUACUGGUACUACUACUUAUACUAAUACUAAUAUUGAUACUGAUACUAAUACUAAUACUGAUACUUGUACUGAUAUUAAUAUUAUUGUUAAUACUAAUACUAAUACUAAUACUCAUACUAAUACUAAUGCUAAUAAUAAUAAUACUCAUACUGAUACUGAUAUUGGUACUGAUAUUGGUAUUGAUACUGAUAUUGAUACUGAUAUUUAUGGUAAUAUUAAUAGUAAUAUUAAAGGAAUACUAAUAUAAUAUUAAUAUUAAUACUGAUACGCAUACUGACACUCAUACUAACACUCAUACUAAUACUGAUUCUCAUACUAAUACUCAUACUGUUAUUCAUACUAAUACUGAUAAUAAUAAUACUGAUAUUGGUAAUGAUAAUAUAAUACCGAUAUUGAUACUGAUAUUUAUACUAAUACUGAUACUGAUACUAAUACUGAUUCUGAAACCGAUAUUGAUAGUGAUGUUAAUACUGAUAUUAAUACUAAACUAAUAUUAAUACUAAUAUUAAUACUAAUUCUAUUACUAUUACUAAUACUAAUAUUAAUACUAUUACUAUUACUAAUAUUAGUACUAAUACUAAUACUAAUACUAAUAUUUUAAUACUAUUACUAAUACUAAUAUGUUAAUAUUGUUAAUGUUAAUGCUAAUGUACUAAUGCUAAUACCAAUUUUAAUGUUAAUUCUAAUCUGGAUAUGCUAAUCAUUAUGCUAAUGCUAAUUAUAAUUUUAAUCCUAAUAUUAUCCAAAUCACUAUCAUAUUCCUAAUCCUAUUCAUAACAUUAAUCAUAAAUCUAAUGGUAAUCCUAAUCCUAUUCCUAACACUAAUCAUAAUUCUAAUCACAACCCUGAUAAUUUUAAUACUAAUAAUGCUAAUGGUAAUGGUAAUGUUAGUUAUAAUUCUAUUUCUAAUCUUAAUUCUAAUCAUAAUAUUAAUCCUAAUGCUAAUCAUAAAUCUUAAUACUCAUACAUGUCACUAAUUGUAGUACUAAUCAUAAGCAUAAUUUUAAUUCUAAUUCUAAUACUAAUAUAAAUCAUAAUCAUAAUCCUAAUAUUAAUUCUAAUACUAUAUUAAUCCUAAUUAUAAUUCAAAUCCUAAUCCUAGUAUUAAUACUAAUACUAAUUCAAAGAAUAUUAAGUAUAAUCCUAAUAAUAAUCACAAUCCUAAUUCUGUUUUUGCAUCAUUUUUUUUUGCAAUGAUCUAUUAUUUUGUAUCAAAAAUAAUUUUAUUAAAUCACGCGACCUUUAUAUCAAUCCUUAUGCAUGGUAGCUGAAGCAUCAAAAAAUACAUAUUAAAUAUAUUAGAAAUUAAUAUUUAAUUAUAUUAUCAAAAUGACAUUAAAAUUAUUUAAAAUAUUAUAAGAAUAUAAGAAAACGUUAAGACGUAAAAAGAACAAUAAUCAUUGUUAAUAGGAUAAAUUAUGAAAAUCCUCUUGAACUUAGGCUAAAGUAUGAAAAACACCCCCACUUAUCAUAAUUACCAAAAUCCCCCUGAUGUUUGUUUUUGUCUUACAGGAGCCCCUUAUGGUGUGAGUUUUUACGGCAUAUUUUUCAUUCCAUGUAAUAUCCCAAAAAAUGUGGAUUCUACUCUUGCCGUCGUGAAAUUUAUUUUAUCCUACUUUUUAAAUACAAAAAUUAUCCUCAAGGGAGGUAAUGGUAAUACUUAAAAGUUCUGAAUAAGAAGAAUAAAUAUUUCGUGUAAAGUCCCCUGAGGGUAAUUUUUGUAUUUAAAAAGUACCAUAAAGAAAUGUCGCGUGUGCAUGGUAGAAUCGGCAUUUUUCAGGGAAUAUUCCACGUAAUAAAAAAAAUCCAUGUAAAAUCAUAUCAUUAGGGGGUCGAUGUAAGACGAAAACAAACAUCCGGGGAAUUUUGGUAAUUACGAAUAUGUGGGGUGUUUUUCUUAAUUUAGCCUAAGUUCAGGGGAUUUUUGUAAUUUAUCCUUGUUAUUAUACAACUUAAAUUGAUUUACACGUAUGUUAGAAACUAACAUAAAGGAAAGGCUGAUGCUAAUGAAAAUAGAUCAAAUUUCAAGUAAGCAAAAGUCAUUAUCAAAUGCUUAUAAAAAUAAAAAUUAAUUGGAUUUUUGUGUAAGUCAGUCGAAUAUAUUGUGAUUUCAAAAAAGAAAAAUAGAGAUAUAGAAUAGAUAUUAGAUUCUUAUAAACUCAUCUAAAAAAAAAAAGAUUCUUAUAAACCUUAUAAAAUAUAUACUUUUAUUUUAUAAAUAUUUAAAAAAUGGAAAUUAAGAAAAUAAAUAUAUCUUAAUAUAUUUGAUGGGGAAUUAGAAAACUUAAGAAUAUUUCACUAAUUUAGAUAAAUAACUUGUAAGUUAGACAAAAGAAUUCAUGCAUUAUGAUAUGAAAAUAUAGUGAGAUAUAUACGGUGUUAUAAUAUUUAAUAAUCAAUUAUUUACGCUAUAAUGUCCUACAUUAAUAUUUUUAUUUUCAUAUGGUUUAAUUUAAAAUUUUAAUUUUAAAAAUUAGUCAGAAUAUUAGUAGCUAAACAUAAUUAUUUUGCCAUGAUAGGUUGUAUAUAUCUUUACCAACAGUAUAAUGGAUCAUAGUAAAUUUCGUAUAAAUUCGAUUUGGUACCAAUAUCGUACCAAAUGAAAUGAUAACCAUUAAUUUGGUAUUUGUUCGAUAAAAUUUUGUUGGUAUACUAUGAUACUUGAUAUUUGAUAAUUUGUUUCCAUCCAUAGCCACAAUAUUGCAUCAAAACAUUCUCAAUUGGAAAAGACACACACAUACUUAUGCAAUUACUUCUCAUAUAAUUGUAGUCUUUUAUGUAAUAUAUAAAUAUCUUAUUGAGUUUGUAACUAAAAAUGGAUCAUAAAAACUACUGAUUUGCCGAUUGAUAUUGUAUUUGUUAAUGUUAAUUAUUUAAAAAGAGCACCUCGAGUGGGGUUUAAAUGGACUAUCAAAACUUUUAAUCGCCACUUUGAUACUAAAAAAUAGUAAUUUUUAAUUCCAAUAGAGUUAUGAAAUGAUGAUUGUAUUUUAAUAUUUCAUCUUUCGAAUUGUAAAAAUACAUCAUGCAGAAUAAAAUAUCAAACAUGAGUUAUGAAUUUAACCAUCUCAGUGUCCAUUUAGAAAAUGACAUGUGGCAAUUAGAUAUACAAAUCAAUUUAAUUAUUUUUAAUUAACAACAAUAUAAUAUAUACAUAUGGUUGGAGCAAAUACAUUUAGAUAAAUAUCAAAAUAAAGUAUUAAUAUCGCAUAAAUAUUUGCAAACUCAUUUUGAUAGUUUUGGGUUGGAGUUACUCUAGAUGUGUACUUAAUUAUAUUUAUCAGAGUGAAAUAAUCAUUAGUGAAAUACAAUAUAUAGUAUAUACGAUCAUUAUACAUUUUAAAUAAAACAAUUGAUAUUCUUAAUCUUUUUUCUUUGAAAGAGAUAUUACUAAUCUUUGGUAUUAAAUAAGGUGAAUAAACGAAUAAUACCAAAGAUUUAGAAUAACAUUAUUAUAUUUUGAAAUAUAUAAAAUCAAUUCAUAUUCUUUUUUAUCAAUUGAUUAAACUUAACUUAUGUUAUUCAAUUUAAUAGUAUAAUCAUAAGAAAGUGUGUGUGUUAAUUAGUAUAUAAUUAAAAAAGUUAAAUCAAUCAUAAUUUUUUGUCACUCGAUUCAGUGAAAAAAAAAAAGUUAAAACAAUAACAUGAAAUUCAAGUAGUAUAAUUUUCAAUAUGGUAAAUAAUUGACAGCAUGUUAGUGUACACAUGACAGACAAAAAAAAAUAGUGCUAAUUUUCGCAUUAUAGUAUGGUCAUGUUCAUGUAAAAUGUAUAAUAUCAAAUGAUUUAUUCCGCAAUAUCUUUUUUAAUAUAAAUCCAAGUUUAUGAAUUCAAAUAAAAAAAAUUAUGUAACACCACCGGUUAAGGAAUUAUAAUAAGGGAAGAUUUGAAAUUGCAUUUAACUAAAUUCAAAUAAAAUUAAUUAUUAUUAAAAUUAAAUUAAAUUAAAAAAUAAAUCUAUUUAGAGUUUCCAAGGAAGUUGAUAUAUUUAGAGCAUUUUAUAAAUGAUAGGAUAUAAAUAUAUUAAUAAAAUAAUUAAAUAUAUUUAAUUAUCUUUAAUUUUAGAAAAUGGUGACAUGUUUUUUGAAGAUUUAUUUUCACCAAUCAAUUUGCCACAUGGGAUGAAAUUGAAUACAUGUCACCAAUUGAAAUUGCCAAAGGUCAAGCAAUUGUGGAUGAAAUUCAAUUUUUAUAUAUUAUAUAACAUAAGUUACAUUAGAUCUUAUUAUAUAAUGAAAUAUUACAAUAAAACAUAAACAUGACGAAAAAAUAAACAUCCGUUGAACAAACUAAAUGAAUUUUUGUACAAACAACAUCACGCAAUUGUUAUAUAAAUUAUGGAAGGAAAAGAAAAAAAGAACACCUGACCAUGUGCAGCAUGAAUUUUCAUGUGAAAGUAAAAAAACACUAUGUGGAGAAAGGAUGCUAUGGAAUGGGUGAGAAGGGAGCGAGGGUAUUAUACUUAGUUCUCCGUCACCCAUUUUCUAACCAAAUCACGUAAAAGUUAUGCUUUUUUUAUAUAUAAAAAUCCAUCAAAUAUUUUCACCAAUUGCAAUGAAAGAUCUACCAAUUGAAUAAUUUGAUAAUAAAAGUUUAUGAGAAUUUCUUUUGUAUAUCACAUGAGAAAAAAAAAAUUUAAGUAAAUUAAAGAGACAUUUUUUUUUUUGCCUUUUUUCGCUCGAAAUUAGGUUGUACUCAAUUAGAAUAAAUGAUAUUCUAAUUUUGUAUAAUGUAUCUCGAAAAACAAAAUCACCAAAAAGAUGACCAUUCCCUCAUAAAAUUUUAAAAAGAAUAUUAUAGUAGUGUGCAGUGUGAAUGAUAUAUUGUGGUUUGAGGGUGAAAAAUACUAAAAUAUUUUUUAGGGUGCAAAAUGCCAAAAGACUAAAUUUAAAAACAAUUGCCAACUAACAUAUUACGGUAGUUAACAUGAAGCAUAUUAUAAUGAAUAUGUAUCUAAAACAUAAAUUUAUAAAAAUAAUAUUCGAAAAUCCGCAAAAAAAAUGACUAUAUUUUCAAAAACCAAAAAAACUCACUCGAUUUGAUUAAAAGUCAAUAUCGUUGAAACGUUUAUAUCAAUUUACAAAAGUAUUCUACCUUAUUAACAUAUACUAACACUGCAUUCUAAAACACAAACAAAUCUAGCGAUGGAGAAGAACAAAGUGUAACCAUAAAGUGUCUCCUUAAAUGAGUAAGAAAAAUAAAUAGAAAACAAUAGAAGAAGAUUUAAUAGCAAGCGUCGUGCGCUCUCUCUCAUCUCUUGCAUGUGAAAUCUUUAAUUUUGUUGAUAAAUUUGAUCAACAUGUUCCUUCUAUUAUAACCAAAAUAAAAUAAUUAUAUUGGUAUUUAUAACGGAACAUUUCGAGAAAAAAAUAAUAAAAAAAUAAUAAUAUGUAUCUAACGAACUAAAAUAAUAAUUACACAAAAAUAAACGUAAAUCCCAUAAUUGAAUACAAAUAUGAAAAAAAAAAUAUUGUGUUAACUCUAUAGUGUUUUCGUGUGAUUCCAAAAAGUAGGGUGUAGAGUAUGAAUGUGAUUGAAUGUCUUAGGAUUGAGGGUUUUUAUACUAAUUUUCGGAGAAUAAAAAAGUAAAAAAAAAUGUUAUGAAGGAAAGAGAGAUUUAAUGGCAUAUAUUUAGAAGAUAAUUGAGGAAAUUAAUUUAAAUUACACUUAGUGAAUAAUGACUAAUUGACAAAAUAAUCAAUUCAUGUGAUAUACAUUCUGAAAAUAAACUUUCGGAGAUUUGAUUGUAAAAAAGAUUUGAUUUUGAUAUUUAUAAUAUAUAAGAUAUAAAUAACAUUAUAAAAAAAAUGAGGAUAAUUAAUUUUAAAUUAAGCAUUCAUUUCAUUAUUACAAUUUACAAAAAUUAGGUAUUAAUACAUAAAUAUUCAUUGAUGUUGAUUUUGUAAGGAAAUAUUUUUAAUGUUUAGUAAUUAUGGAAAUGUGCGUUGAAGAGCUUACUAAAUAUUUAAAACCAAUGUAAAUUGAUUUGAUUCAAAUUAUCUGUAGAAAUAAUUGACACCACUUAUUACACAAAUCCGGAUAAUUUAUUUUAUUUUGGGUUGAGUUUUCAAUUUUAUUUUGAAAUUGUAGGAUUUUUAAUCCGGAAAUAUAGUUAAAAAAAAAUCAAAUUCUAUAAUGGGCGGCAAUCUAUAAAUCGGAGUUAAUGACAAUUAUUAGUUAAGCACAUUCUAUGAAAAUCAAAAUUGAAUAUUUUACAUAUUAAAUUAAUAUGAUAAAUAUUUUAAUUGAUAUUAAUUGAUUACGAUUAAAGUUGAUACCAUGGAAUAUGAAAAAGAUUUUAAAUAUAUUUGGUAAAUUGUUAUGACAUAAGAUAUUAUUUCCAUGUUAAAAUACCAAUUAAUGAUCCGGAUAAUAUUUUUGGCAAGUUUAGCCUAAUCAUCAAUUAAUGAUGAUAAAUAAAAAUGGAAGAUAUCAAAGUAAUAAAUAAUGACAUGUGUAAAAUGAGUAGGAUGCCAUGUAGAUUCACACGUGUCAAUGACAUGGAUGCCAAAUGUCGGAUUUCUAAGGUAUGAGGGUUUCAAUUUAUAUAUUAUAUAGAUGCUAAUGCCGAAUUAGCUGAUUAAACUGCAGUUAUCUGUUGAAAAUUAGGAAUGAUCGUAUUAAUUUAAAUAUAGAUUGUUCGAGGGGAGUGCAUUGAGUACUGAUGUCAUGCUAACAGUUUAUCAUGUGCAGUGAAAAACUUGAACAACUCCAAUUUGAAGAAGGCAGCAAUCACUCCAUUGAACAUUUCUUGCUGGAGAAGGUACAGUGGCAGCACGAGUGGUCUUUCACCCGAAAGCUACCGUAGUCAAAGUCACCAUAUCCUUCAAAAUAGCGGACUUCAGCACCAUUUCAAGAAUUGGCAAAACUUGAGAAAGCAUAAACUAACAGCAAGUACUUUUGCCCUAGCAGUUGGUUUUUGGCCACGUGGACGGACCAAAUUAUGGCUGGAGAAGAUCGGAACAAACGAACCCUUCUCUGGCAACCUAGCUACAUGUUGGAGCAACAUUAACGAAGAGGAAGCACUCAAAAGAUAUAUACAAAUGUAUGAAGAUUACGGAAAUAGGUUGUUAUUUAUAUCAAAACCCGAAUUUCAGGUCUAUGGGAAGAACAACCCUGAAGAUAAUUGGCUCGCAGCUUCACCUGACAGAGCUAUCGACGGAUCUAAAGACAAAACUGAUUUUUUUUGGGAUCGAACAUAGCCUUCCCAUGGAAACGAGUGCCUCUGCAUUACAUCCCCCAAGCUCAGGGUUUGAUGGAAAUACUCGACCGUGAUUGGAUGGACAUGUAUUGCUACACGGUUAACGGGAGUAGUUUGUUUAGGUUAUACCGAAAUCAAGAGUAUUGGAAAAUCUUGAAGAUAGCGUUGUCUGAUUUCUGGUGGAACCAUGUCCAGGCAGCAAAGGAGAUAAUCAGUACAAGGGUGAUUACCAAUCCGCUUACCGAACUAAGUUGUCUAAGGCCAACCCCUAAGCACGAACUUCAUCAGUGCAUUGUGCAUGCAAGCAAGCUGCUUUUCUAUGGGGAAUUCAAGACCAAGAUAUAAUUACAGCAGAAGAGCUAUAUGAUGGAGGGCCUUGAUAAUACACAGCAGAUUCAAAGCAAUAUAUAUAUACUUACAUGUUUGUUUUACAUACAUGGUUAGUGUCAACUCUAUUUAGGUUCAGUGUUGCUCUUUCGGGUUUCGGGCUUCUUGGCUGCUAAAUGUAAAUUCUUUUUUAUAGGAAUUAGGCAUCGAGGAUAUAGGAUACGCACGGCAUAGAUACGUAUUGGAAAGUCGAGGAGAAUUUUUGAAUUCCGGAAAAAGAUUCGAUCUUGGAGCAAUGUUUUUCAUUCUGAAUUCAUUUCCGAUUUCCGAUUUUUUUUAUUGGAAUAGUGUACUAUUUAUAGAGUUCUUAAUUUCAAUUCCAAGAGCUGGGAUUUUUUUUUGUUCGAAAAUUGUAUUUAUAACAUUAGGAAUAUUGUGUAUUUUAUAAUAUGCCUGAGGCGGCCGUUAUAUGCAAGUCCAUUUUUUUAUUAGUUCAAAACCACAUAAAGGAGUUUAUUAGUUCAAGCCCAUAAAAUAAUCUAAUUUUAUUACAUCAAGACCAAAGAUGACAAAUAGACCUUUAUCCACAAAUAAUACUCAAAUACAAAUAAAUCUUAUUUUUAAUUUGUUCAAGACCAAAAAAAAAAAAAAAAAACAAAACAAAACAAAAAAGAAAUAUCACGACGGCUAAAUAUUAAUCUAUGCUAAAUAUGUAUGAACGAACAUUAAUCUAUGCUUAUUUCUUGUUGGGUUGCAAUGAUUUGGCCGAUUUUGGAAAAAAAAAUUGAGAUUGAAAUUGGUUUUUUUAUUUUUUUCGUUGGUUUCCCAAAUCGGUUUAUCCAGACCGAUUUUGUACACGAAAAUCGGCGUCAUAAUACCGAUUUUUGUUAACCAAAUCGGCGACACAACGUCGACUUUACAAGUCAAAAUCGGCGUUCUAAUGUCGAUUAUUGAGUACAAAAUCGGUUUUCGAAUACCGAUAUUUUUUGAAUUUUUUUUUUAAAAUAAUACAUUAUAUAUUUGGUUAAUUGAUAUUUUUUAAAUAUUUGAAACAAAAAUGUUUAUCACCAUUCGGUGGCGUCUACCACUCCUUUAACUCAAUCGAGUAGAGCUUUUCGUAUCUCAAUUAUUUAUUCGUUAGAUAAUUCAUUUGAAUAAUCCUCCAUCAAUUCCCUAGGUUGAUGUACGAAAGUAUGAGAAAACGGUCUUAAAAAAACACAGAUAAUAAAAUCGGUAUUUAAAAACCGAAUUUUGUAGUACAAGUCGGCAUGACAAUACCGAUAAUAAAAAAACAAAUCGGUGUUGUCAUGCCGAUUUUUACUACAAAAAUCGGUUUUUAAGUACCGAUUUUUAUUAAAAUAAUCGGAAUGUGGUUACCGACUUUAGUAACAAAAAUCGGUAUUUGCAGACCGAUUUUUGGUAUCGUCGAAUUUUUUUCCCAACAAAAAAAAAACGACCCAAAAGCAAAAAUAAACGGUUAAAACAUAUUUCAUUGUGUUCUCCACCCUCGUAAACCACCAUAUCAUUGUUUUCUGGUUCCAUCGUGAAUGUUUGGUAUGCAUUUGAUAAUUUUGGUGUGUAGGAUUUCUUGGUGGAUUUCUUGAUAUUUAUAAACCCUAAAAUCCGUAGAGAACCCCUCUUUCGAAGAUUCAAACCCAGAAUUAAUUCCGGCAUUGAUCCAGAAAGAUGAGCUCAUACAUGAGCAAAGUGUUCCCCAGAUCCAAUUCGAGGCCAAAGUCGUCCGCCUGAGAGAAGAAAUGUACCUCGUCGACGCCGGAAUCGGCCGCCCCAGAAUCGCCAACAAGCAGGAGCUCAUCAAACCACCCAAAUCCAGCCGGGUCGGGUUCCUCACCCCGUCGAACCGGGAGACGCCGUCGUGCUCCAGCGCUGCUUCGUCUAUCUGGUCACCGGCGAUCCCCGGACCAAGCAGCAGGCCGCCACCAGGUUCGACGAACGACGCCGCCGCGUCCGGCGGCGAGCAGAGGUUCAGGAAACAGCGCGCGUGGGUGGAGCUGAAGAACACGUGGAGGUCCAAUUCGAAAGUGAGAGGAGGGUACGCCGUAGCUGUAGCCGGCCAAAUUGCGUUUCUUCCUGCUCGGCCCAGUGAUCGGUUUAUUAUCGAGAGCAUCACCCCCAAGAAUUUUGUUGUUGCCAAAGCUUAACAAGUGAUGAUUUUUCGGUUAGAUUUUCUAUUAAAAUCCUCUUCUUUUAUUUUUUACAUUCGAAUUUGUGUUGUUUCGAUUUGAUUUCCUUCUGUUGAUAUUGAUUUGGAGUUGAUUUUUAGAAAAUAAAAAUAAAAAUGCUGGCCAAGGGUGUUUGUAGUUGAUCUUUGUUCGUAUCCGAAAUGAAGCUAAAUAAGUUGGAAACAAAUGGUCGUUUUUUUAUGCAUACAAAUGUUGCUUAUAUGAUUAUCCAUUAUUGAUAUUAUGCUGUGUUUAGCUCUAGUGUCUUGAUUUUUUUUUUUUUUUAACUAUUUCAAGAACUAUGGUGCGGAAUCUUUCGAUUAUUUUAAUGGAGUGGAAUAUACCUAAGUUGAGGAAAGAUGGCAACUUCCUGAAAAAAAUCGGAUUGCUUAGUAUCUACGAAAGAAGUGAAGAAGAUUGCUGCAAGAUUCUUGCUCAUAAUUACCCAUAUCAGCAUAUACAGCGAAAUUAAUACAGUCGGGACUAGAGACAUUCUAUUAAUUUAGCAAAUUAUUAAAUUUAUCGAGUUAAUAAUUUAACACGCCGAGUCGGGACCGAGAGAAACUAUUAUUUAAUCAAGGUUAUUAAGUUAUCGUGGUUCUACUGCAUAUAUAUAAACACAUGUUGUAGAUUUACACACAAUCGCAUACAUACACAUGUGGAUAGGUGUGAAAUAUAUGUUGAAUGUUUACAUAUGCGGUAGGCUUACACGUGGUGACGUUCACGAAUAAACCAACGUAUAGUGAUGCUUGCUAAUAAUCACGUAUUAACGAAGUUUAAGGUUGUUGAGAUGUUUGUAGAAAGCGAAUUUCUUCUUCCUUGAUACAUAUUUUGCUAAUCUUCUUUAACUUCGUCUUGUAAUUUUCAUGUGCCACAUUAUUGGGUUUUUCGUCUGCAUUGACUUGAGAUUGAAAUUACUCGGACCACCAUUGUAGUUUGCUAUGUAAAUAUCAUGCCGGUUUUCUUGCAUAUUUUUUCCCUUUUUUUCGAAUCUCGUCUCUCGAAUAGAAGCUAAAUGUUGUUAUGGGUCAUGCCUUAAAAACGUGUAUAUGCGUAUCAUUUUGCCAAAUUAACAUAAUGACAUUAUACACUUGUUCUUUGUGCUGUGGAUGUCGAAAAUCCUCGUUUAUAUACAUCUUAGUACUAUGUUCCUAUGGAUUGAUGACAAUCAGACAAAUGGUUGAAGAAAAUUUUCAAAAUUGCAUUUUAUAAGAAAUGGAGAAACAAAUCAUAAAACUAGGGAAAUUUCGGAAAUUAUUAAUAUUAGUAAUAAAUUUAAAAUAAAUACAAAUAUGCCGUUAGAGUUUCUUAGUUGUGCCUUUUUUUUUACGUUUAUAUAUAAAGAUUACGUAUCUCGUUGCAAAUCCAUUCAAUUUUGUUGCAAGGUUCCUGGCUGUAGUUACUCACAUCAAAUUGUUUAUUUUCUUUAUUUCUCUUGCUUUAUUUAUUUUUCUUUAUUUCUUUUUCAGUAAACCGUUAUAUAUUGGCUUCAUGAAUCCAUAUCCAUUACAUGGGAGACAAGAAGACCAACAUUACAUCAAAUUAGUGGUCCACAUCGAAAAGUUAAGAUAAUGUAUUUUUUGGGAAAAAAAGAAGAUAUUGGAGAACAAGUAAUAUUUAGAGUUAACUGCAAAAAAUUCCCUAAACUUUGGACGUUUUUGCGCUUUACCCCCUGAACGGAAAAAAGUUGCACGAGCAUACCUGAACUUGUUAAAUUGUUGCACCGAUGAUGAAAAAAUCCAUUUAUAGCAAAAAUUCGGCCUGAAUUGCACACGUGCAACUCACACGUGAUAAUGAAGGGGCAAUUUCGUCGAUUCACAAAACUUUCAGAUAAAAGAAUAAAUAAAAAAAGAGAAAAGAAAAAGAAAAAAAGAAAAAGGAAAAAGAAAAAAAAGGGAACACAGCCCCCAUCAUCUUCGAUUCUUCGUCUCCCUGUUGCUUCAAAACAGGGGAAGAUUUUCACACCACAGCCACCACCAUCUUUCCACACCACAGCCACCACCAUCUUUCCACGGCCGCCGCGCCAUCUCUCUCCACCGCCUCCGCACCACCAUCUCUCUCCACCGUCGCCGCACCAUCAUCUCUCUCCAACGCCGCCGCACCAUCAUCUCUCUCCAACGCCGCCGCACCACCAUCUCUCUCCACCGCCGCCGCACCAUCUCUCUCCACUGCCGCCGCACCUCCAUCUCUCUCCACCGCCGCCGCCGCACCAUCUCUCUCCACCGCCGCCGCACCAUCUCUCUCCACCGCCGCCGCACCACCAUCUAUCUCCACCGCCGCCGCACCAUCUUUUCUCUUUUUUUAUUUAUUCUUUUAUCUGAAGAAUAAACACAAAUGAAGAUGAAAAUCACUGGGUUUUUUUUCUCCAUAUAAUUUCAAACCUUCAAUCACAAUUUCACAAAUUACAAUUUCAAAAAAAAAAAAAAAAAUCAGUUUACAGUUCUUCAAAUCAUCCAUUAUUAAUUCUAAUAUGAACUUUAAAUUUUAAAAACCCUCCUAAUCAAUUAAAUAAUUAAUCAACCAACCCUUUUUUCUUCACAGAGUAAUGAAACAUUAAAAAAAAGAAAAAAAAAAAAAAAGACAAUUAAAAAAUCAUAAAUUCUUACAAGCAUAGAUGAUGAAAGAGAAAUCAACUUUAUCAAGAUCCUUCUGCACCAUCUUCUCUUCCAGCCACAACCUGCUAUCCAAUCCACUCCUUGUCAUGAACAUAAACACCGCAUUUCCCGGUGCACCGGGAUUAUAAAACCAGUCAAUCACAUCCCACAUUAAAUCCACAAGCAACCCAUCCAAGAAUAUCGUUUUUCAAUUCUCUCAAUAAUUGAACUAUUUCUGUAAAAGAAUUAAGAAAAGAAGAGAGGAGUUGUUUGUUUUGUUGCAUCUUUUGGUUGGGGCUGGUGUUGAUGGGAGGAGUUUGGUUGGGGAUGAUGGUGACGGGAAGAAGAGGCGUUUUUUUCUUUUUCUUUUUUUUUUUUUUUUUUUUUUAAGAUUUAUUAAAAAGAUAAGAAAGUAUAUGGGUGUAAAGGAAAUGACUCAUUUACCCCAGCUAUAUACACGUGUAAGGCACGUGACUCGGAUUCCGGUCAAUUUUGGCCAAAAAUGGACAUUUUGGACAUUGGUGCUAAAAAUAAUAGAGUUCAGGUAUGCUCGUGCAACUUUUUUCCGUUCAGGGGAUAAAGCGCAAAAACGUCCAAAGUUUAGGGAAUUUUUUGCAGUUAACCCUAAUAUUUAUGAUCUGGAUAUUUUAGACUAUAAUGAUUAUGAUGUUUCACUAUAUUUUACACAAGGGAAAAGUAGAUAUGUGACUGAGGUAAACAUUGGCUAUAUGGACUCGGCCAAAUUUCUCACACCACUUUACUAUUUUACAUAUUCUCAAUUAUGCCCUUCAACUACUCACUCCAACAAUUUAGAGAGGAAAAAAAAAGUCAAAUAUCGUUCCUCUCUCUCUCCGCUGCUGUAGUUAUCGAAGUCUGCCGGCACCGCCUUCGACCUUCCGCUAGAUGACGAGGAGCUCGUGAAACGCAUCGUAGUCUCUGGAAUUGGGGCUCGCCGACUGCUAUAAGGCUGCGAAAAUCCACCGAGAGGCGGUGCACGGCUGAGUGGGUUUGCGUUUGGAAGGGUUCGAUUACGACUCCUUUAGGGGCUUUGCUGCGAGAUGUUUGUGUGGUUUAUGUGCAGAUUCCGAUGGGAAUAGUGUGUCUUUACGGCGAUGGAAGUGGCGACGACGGCAAAAUGUUGGGUGUCUUUUAUCUGUCGUUUCAUCGGUUUUCUUUCCUUACCUUGCCAUAAAUCGGAUGGCUGCGGACAAUGCAAUAAAUCGGAUGGCCGUGUCUUUUCAUCGGUUUUCUUUCCUUGCCUUGCCAUAAAUUGGAUGGCUGCGGACAAUGCAAUAAAUCGGAUGGCCGCAAUUGUCACGCAUAUCGGAGCGGGCUACAACGAAUUGGAACAACAUGAAUCGACUAAUUUACUUCUCCAGCUCUCAAACUCUCAAACGAUGAUUUAAAGAGAUCUCAAACUAGGGGUCUUCACUUUUAAUUAAAAGUUAAAAAAAAUUAAAUGUAGUUUGAUUUGGGGCUAGGAAACGACAUUUUCAAAAUUUACAAUCUAGUCCUAAUUGUUUUUUAUUUCUUUUAAAGUAAAAAGAUAAUUUCAUAACCUACAAUUUCACCCAUAAUUCUUAUUCUCUCAACAUUGAUAGAAUUGUUCCAAAAUUAGAAAUUAAUAGUAAAAACUUGUUCUAAUUUUUUUGCAUUUUAAUUCCCGUUCAAUGUUCCGGCGAACCAUGAUUCAUUAACAAUCCCGAAUUCAUUCCAGAAAGGAAAAAAUAGUGAAUGAGCAGAGCAAUCAACCAAAAUCAGUACAUUACAAUUUGUUAUUCUCUUAAUUUACAUCAACAACUCCAUUUCCCAUCACAAAUCAAUCCCACAAUACUACAAAUUACAAAAACACCACAAAAAGAAAAAAAAAGGGCUAACUAAUUAAUUACUGUUUUUGGCUCAUAUAUUAAAAAAAAAAAAAUUAUCUAGAAGAAGAUGUGUUGAAGAAGAAGAUACGAUUGAAGAUCCUGGAACAAGCGGAUCUAAGACGAGGGUACACCCUAAGAGUGUGCGCACUGGAUUCCUUCCACACAUCUUCAAUUAUCUCCACAAACAGAUUCAAGCUUCUUAUCGGUGGUAUGUACAGAGUCAGCGGCACCGCCGAAAACGCCACCGCGAAGAACAAGUGCAGCAUCUCUCUUAUCAAUCAAUCAAUCAAUUAUUGCAAUUGCAAACCCAAAAAAAUCUGAGAAAAGAUUUUUAUUGUGGAUUUGGUGGAAGAAUGAAGGUUUGAAUUAUUUGGGAUUUUUUUUUAUUUUUUUUUGAAUAAAAUAUAAUACAAGGUGGGGAACUAUGAAGUAUUUAUUUUAUUAUUACUUAAUUAAUUAAUUAUUAAAGAGAGGAAAUUAUGAAGAUAGAAUUAGAGGCCACGAUAUUGCGUGGGAAGUCAGCUACUUGUAAUUUCUGGGAGUCCGCAGAAUUAGUGACCGUUCAUCUUCCCCUUUGGUGCCACCUAGGAUAAGUUAAUGUUUUUUCUAGAAUGUUCCUAUCUUUAUUGUGUUUAGUUUUUUUUUCCCUUUUAAAUUUACACUUAUAAAUGAUUAAAACAAUACUCACAAAAGUAUGAAUGACAAUUUGCCCCGCCCAGCCCCGACCUGAAAUUUCACUCGAUGGUUAUCCACGAGUACUCAUGGGAAUUUUAUGGAUGGUUUCGGAGAUCUCAGUUCAUCUAAUUUUGAAAAGAAUGAGGAUUUGGAAUUCUAGAGUGAGGCAGGACGUGGAUUGCAAGACUCGCCCCAUUGCCAUCCCUACUCGAAAGAUUCAAGUUAUUAAUAAUAGCAGAGCUAGCAUAGAACAAUGGGAUUUGGUUUUCAUUGAUUAAAAAAAAAAGGAAAAUCAAUAUUUCAAUAGAGGUGUCAAUGGAGUCAUGUUCGAAUUCACUAACAACGUUUUUUAAAUUGAAUUUAUCACAGAUGAGUUAUACACAUAAAUAAAGGUUUAACGAGAAAUAUAUGUAUGAGUUUGAUUUAUGAAUUACAAACAUGGAUAAGAAAAACAUAUUAUUUGAAUAAUGUAAUUCAUAAACAUAAAAAAACAUUGAAAAUCACUAUUCAAGAUUAAGGAUAAACUUACAACUCAUUCCUCAAUUUUUUUAGCUAAACCAAAUAACACCCCUAUCUACUAAAAGUAAGGACAAAAUGCAUUUCGCCCCCUAGAAAUUUUUAGUUUUCGCUUUUUCUCUCUAUAAAUUUAAAACUGAGACUCUUUCCCUUCCAAAUUUUUUUAUAGUUGCAAUUUCCAUUCUAUUUUUUUUUAUCGGUUUUUUAUUUUCGUCAACUUGAAGGGCAUUUUCGUAUGUUCACCAAUCUCACCCAAAUAUUAAUGUCGUUGAAAACCAGAUGUUAAGAUGGGUUCUAUGUUUGCUGGUGCAUCAAUAUCGAUCCAAGCUGUAAUGGGCUGGAUCUUUCGCAUUGUAAAUCGAGGUUGCUGGAGUAAUUGAACCUCGGCAUAAAAUGCAACGGCGCAUGCACCGUGUUUCCUCUGUCGUCGCCGCUGUGGGUGUUGGUGAACGGGCACAUCUGGUCUGCCUCAGAUGGGGCGGAGGAUGAGGGGGUGUUGCCAUCGCCAUUGGCUGCGGUCACAGGGAGCAUUUAGAAUGUGCUGCCGGAAACGAUAGUGGUCGGCACUGGUGGCGUCAUAACCCACAUGGCGGUAGGCGGCAUCAUAUUAGCAUGCCCUCAUUAAGCUUCCCGGAGAUUGGCCGGUGGCCACCAACGCACAAUGGAAGGAAUAAAUUGCGGAUUUUGAUUGCGGGACCGACAGAGUUGAGCCGCUGCUUACGAGAGAGAUGUUUAGGCAUGAGAAAUUGGCAUGAAUUGUGUCGGUACCAGUGGCAACUAUAAUUUUGGGGUGGGGUUGGUGAAAUGACAAAAAUGUCCUUCAAGUUGAAGGAGAUAUGAAAAAACGGUGAAAAUACUCCGGAAAGUCUCAUUUGGAAGGGGAGAAUUACAUUUUUGAAUUUGUAGGGAGAAAAGUGCGAAAACUAAAAAUUUCUAGGGGUAGAAGUGCAAUUUUGUCAUAAAAACAAAGUAACAAAAUAAAAAUAAAAGAUUAUUCACACUGAACUACAAACAGUCUACUCUAUUCCUUUCAUUUCAUGCUUCCCAAAUUCCGAAUUAACAAAACCUGCUAAUAAAUGGCUUCGAUUGUCGAGAUUCAAAAAUACAACUGUUAAAGGCUAACGGAAUCUAUCCUGCUGCGGCGACGAGGCCAGGUCGUUCCUUGUCAACCCCGGCGAUCCCUCCGACUACAGCGGCCUCCUGAACAGAUGCUACGUCGUCGUUUCUGUAAACGCACCUCCCCUCCGCGUCUUCGAUCCUCACUGCCGGUGGCCGCAGAGCGAGGUGCGUUCGUACUUUAUGCGAGGUUGCCCCCUUUUGCAAUUUUAGCGGGAAAACGAGAAACCCUCUUCUCCUCUCUUCCAUUUGAAUUUUAGUGUUUUUUGCGGGAAAAAAAAUGUGGACGACGGUGGGGCUGAUUUUCGCCCGGAAUGAAAAUUACUGAUUCUCUUGGAAACUGAAGUAUGGUUUGGAAUAACUGAUGUGGUGUGGAAACAAUAUUAACUAAUUAACGGUUGCACCAAAUAUGUUACUAUGAUUUGAUGAUCUCUCUGCAUUUGUUAUUACAAACUCAAGCGAUUCUAGCUAUUUUUUUUUUCAGAUUCGUUUAUUGUAACUUCAUGAGAAUCUAGGGAUGCUUUAGUAAUAAUGAUCCUUUCUUUGUUCUUCAGAUUGUCAGAAGAUCCAUUGAAAUGAUACUGAGUGAAGAACCUGCGUCUUCAAAUUUGAUCUGCUGCGAUUACGAUGAAGUCAGUAUUCUACAUACCGUUUGCUUGUUGAGAUUCAUUAAUCAUGUGUUUGAAUUUCAUCUUUUCGGAAUUCAUCUCUCUCUCUCUCUCUCUCUCUCUCUCUCUCUCUCUCUCUCUCUCUCUCUCUCUCUCUCUCUCUCUCUCUCUCUCUCUCUCUCUCUCUCUCUCUCUCUCUCUCUCUCUCUCUCUCUCGAGCUGCAAAUUUAUGACAUAGUUUGUAGAUAAAUCUCUAUCUCUCUCUCUCUCUCUCACACACAUAAGAAUGUGAAUUGAUGAGCUGGCAGGACACUCGCUCGAGUGAUGUGGUUGAUAUCCUAACUUCCUCAAUUUGGACACUCCUUCUAAAGAGAGUAAGUAACCGAGACGGCUUAUGUUAAUACUAUUUAGCUUUGAGUAGUACGUGCACAUUGAAAAUGAUUAGGCAACAACGACAAAUUUUUUUCAGGUCGGCGAUAUUCUGAUGGUGUAUUUGUUAAAGUACACUUCAAUAUUUCUGCCUCUGCCUCGAAUGAAGCACCGUCAGAUUACCGGUGACCCCAUCAACAACCUCGUCCCCUCGGUGGGGUUGCCUUUCUCUAAAUCUCAGCAUCGUCCAGUUGCGCAAAAUGGUAACUUUAUCGAACAUUGCAAUUUUUUAUUUAUUUUUUCAUAAUUUCUGAUAUUCGAAAUACAUCAAGCUAAGUUCUCUUGGAACGUAACAUGGCAUUUACAUUGUUUAACAAUGAAUGUUGGGAGUCAUUAUUAAACUACGUACAGUAGAACCUCGUUAAAUUAAUAACCUCGCUUAAUUGAUAAAUUCUUCCGAUCCCAACUCGGUGAGAACAUGCUAAAUUGUUAACUCGGUAAUUUAAUAUUUCGCUAAGUUAAUAGAAUUUCACUAGUCUCGACUCCCGAGACUGUAUUACUUUAUAGAGGUUUAACUGUACAUGUCAUAUACAUUUUAUAAAGGUGCGUGAAUAAGAUGUGACGACCUAAUUGCAAUUAGUGGUUUAUAUGUAUGUGGAGCGUAUAUUUUCAUAAGGUUUAUUCUCUUUAACUUCUUUCAGGAUCUGCGAAGAAGAGGAAAAGGGUCGAAAGGGUUAAGCCGAUACCAGUGAAGAAGCUUUGCACAUCGUCAAACUGUGUUGAGUCAACCGCAGAUAAUGGUAAGGUUGACUUAAUUUGAAGAGUCUGAUACUACUAACUAAGAUACGACUUUCAGAAAACAAUCGUCUGAUACAGUUGGAACGUCUGCAGGAUCUAGUUGUCUUUCUAGUGAAGAACUUUCUCCUAGAAAACGUGAAGAAAGUACAUAGCAAAAUACUGUUUCAUCUCGCAUAAGAAAGCGUAAACGAGAUUUUUGCUGGCACCGCGGACUAAAACGUAGGCAGUUGGUUGUUCGAGGAACACAUUCUUUGAUCCCAUGUAGAGUAAAUAGUCGCGAUAUUGAGCGUCAAAAUGGCAUCUGCACAAGUUCUGUUAGAGUAGGUGACCAACAAGCCAACUUGUGGCUAUGGUCUUUCUCUUUUUCCUUGUAAUAAAACAAUCGUUUUUCGUUUGUAAUAAUAAAACAUUUCAUUUGGCAUUCUAUAUCUCUUAUCCCAUGCAAGCAACAUAGAUAUAGUCCUAACGAGUUACUCUAUUACUGUGAGUUGAUCUAGUAGAAUCGUGAGAUAACUCAGCAAUGUAAUGUAACUGUUAAACCUUGUUCCUAGUCGAUGGGUUACGCCAAUAAUGAGGAUACCGGCCUUUCCCGUUUGAGACUAGCACUUAGUGUAUGUGUACUGCGUCUCAUCAGUCCUUGGUGUUGUGACAUCGGCAUACUUGAGUGGGUGCUCAUACUAGAUGAGUUCACUGAACUCCCUCGCCCUAGAAAUCUAUAAGUGGUUCUCAUUCAUCGAGUAAUAGGUUUCUAAGAUAUAGUUGUACACCAUUAGUCCUUAAGACCCAGACAUCACCGUGACUUCACUAGAGGACCGAUUGUAUCCUGACCUGUCCCUGAGUCCCACAACGGACCGCUCCAAGGGCCAACGCUCGUGCAAUCCGAAAUCUAGUGUGAAGUCUGUGCAUUGUAGUAGGGGAUUCGAGCGCUUGAGUAGUCAUGGAUGUCCUGUACAUGUGUGUUAUGACGGUUUAUAAUCCAACGAAGCUCUGGCCAGACUUGAUAGUGGGGUGAUUAGGGAAAUGUGUUUCCCUAAGUCGCACACGAAUGGAUUUAUAAUACCUAGAACGUUCGGACGGUUAUUGAACUUUAUAAGAGGUCUCGGUGAACCAAUGCAUCUAGUUCAAUCGGGACAUGUGCUGCGAAGGGAUCGUACUGUACGCUAACUAUAUCAUAAGGUUCUUGCAGGCACUUCACUUGUAUCUAGGGAAUCAUGAUGCGUAGUUGCUAGACGCCAAUCUUGAUUCGUUGGGCACCGAUUUGAUCGGGGAUUAGGUAAAAUGAGUUUUACUCUAAUCGGGACUCUUGGGAGGAGUUUGUAUAAGAACAAUGUGUUGUUCGAAUCACAAAGAGUUGUGAGCCCACGGCUAGCAUACACCUGAACCAUUGAGGGUCACACUUCUCGUGUAAUAUAGAUCCUUGAUAACAACAAGCAUAGAUUAAUGUGUUAAUCUUUGAACGAUUGGAUGUCGAUAUGAUUGAAUCCAAGAUUCGUAGUUGUGGAUUGCGAAUCGGAAUAAACGUAGAGAAAGAGAGACAUGCGGAUUUUAGUGAACUUUCUAAAUUGGGAAGUUUCCCGAUUUAGCAAGUCCACUGAAGUGGAAGUUUCCAAUUUUGGAAAUUGGAAAUUUCGAAGAGGCACUCGUAUCGACGAGGACUUUGAGCUCGUCACAAAUAUAAUUUUGUGAACGAUCGUUUAUUAGAAACGAGGGCGACGAGGGAAUGGGCUUAAUACAUCAGUGGGUCAAGCCCAAUGACUUAAACCCACUAUGGUUGAAAACCCUAAGUAUAUAUAGAUCUCAAACAAGAGUUUGAGAUCAGAUUUUCUGCACCAAACCCUAGCCGCUCAUCCCUUCGGCCGUUGCUGCCCCGCCGCGCCACCGCCGAUCACCGCCGGUUUUCUCCUCGCUUCUUCUUCGUUUACUUGUUGUUUAUCUAACUCGUUUACAUCUAGUGCUGUAGUUCGAGUGGGUCGAAAAUACGAGGUGAAACCUAAUUGGAGAGGAGCUGCUGCCCCGACGAAUCCACGCACCGCCGCUGCACCGCCGCACGCGCCGCUACGCCGCCCACGCGCCGCCGCUACUGCUGCCACGUACCGCCGCUGCUGCUGCCACACACCGCCGUUCGUUGCUUGCUGGAUCAGCUUGUUCCAGCCGUGAGUUGCAACCCCGAGGAUUGGUAAUUUGCAGCUUGUACGUGAUUGGUUCUAGGUUUCGAUUCGUCGAAAUCUCACGCUACAAGAGGUAAAUAAAUCGAAACUUUCGUAAAUUAAUUCGAGCAUGUUUGUAUGAAUUAUAAUUUAUGAUUAUGAGUAAUAUGUUAUUACGUGUUUCGAUUUUAUUGAAUGAUGAACAAGCAUGUUUCGUAAUUUUCGGUUUUACGUGUUUUUCAAUUAAAUCGAUAAUUACCAUAUGUAUGGCGGAAGCGUUAAGGUACGUUGACUAUGUGAUUAGUUUAUGCAUGUAAUGUAGCACCCCCCUUAAAGACGGGCGAUAAAUCGAACCGGUUUAUCGGAAUAUUUAUUAAAAUAGCGGAAGCAAAGGAUCUCUUUGUAAAUAUUGAAACAUUGGGAUGGGGCGAAAAUGCAAUUAAAAAAAUAUCUUCUUUUGGGUAUUGAAGGCUUUGCAUUUUCAAAAGAAAACUUUGUUGGGUUACUUUGGCCGAAUAAAAGCUUCGUUUGGAAAUAAGUUUCGAGGGGAGGUUUCUCAUUCGAGUGCUACAUUCUCACUAAUCAUUUUUCGGUUCGAGAAGAAAUCAGAGUUCAAAAAGGUUAUUUUGGUGAAUAAUUCGAAAAUUCCUAGCGAAGGCAUGAAAAUAGUAAAUUGCGAAACUUACUAUAUUAAAGUAGGAAUUAAGUACGAGUCAUAACGAAAAUGAGUUCAAAAGUACGAAAAGAAAAUGUUACGGUUUUAGGUUACACCACCAAAAGAAAAUAACCAAAAGUCUAGCAUCGUUCAUAGGUCCUCGUACGUCUUCCAAAACUCCGGGCAAGACCUCGAUCCACUACUCGAUCCAUCCCGGUUGAGGAUUACUACUACCUGCAAUUAAAAGACAUCCAUAUGAGCUAUAAAGCUCAGUAAGAAAUCCGAGUAAUACCGAACUUUGGAAAUACGUUAUACAUAAUAUAUAAUAUUGUAUACCCGUUCUUACCCACGUUUCGCACAACAACACAAGGCAAUCGGUCACAUCACAUAUCUCACGAAAACACAUCAUUUCACAAAAUCACGUAAUCAUGCAAAAUGACUAAAAUGCCCUUUUUGUAAAAAUCAUGAAAAACAUAUUUUUCAGUUUAUCGGAUCCGUGAAAGAUUAAUUUCUGUACCGGGUAAUAAACCUGUUACGAGCCCGUUUUCACUAAGUGGAAUCAAACCACUACCACAUCAUCCUAGUUGGAUACCGGCCCACUAUAUCCGAGGUGUUUAUUAUCCGAUAUUCCAUUAAUCCUUCAAAUAAAAAUCAUUUUAAUGCAACUUUUCGAAAUAAUGCUAUAACCCACACAUGACAUCACAAAUAUCAAUCAAGUGCCACAAAUCUCACAAAUAUCACAAUUUACCACACAUUUAUGAUUUGGGCAAAAAUCCCAAAUUCACACACAUAAACACACAACCACACACGGCACACACACCCUGCACAAUCAGCACCCACACAUUCACACAUUUUUAGCACACACACAUGCACAAUCAACACAUUAAACCUCACUAAUUACUCAUCAAAGCAAGCUCAAGAACAAAUACCUUUUUACCUUCGUUUAAUGGACUUAUUACCACAUCUAGGUAAUAAUCCAUUUCAAUCAAUAUCCCACAGCCAUUUAACACAUCCAACAGUAAUUAAAGUACCAAAAUACCAAAAUUCAUCACUCAUCACCAUGAAAUCAAGAACAUAAACAUUAAAGCACAAAACAUGUUAAAUGGUAUGCAAAUUGUCCUAAUUUCGAAAUAUUAGCAAACUAAUUCCAACAAUUCUCAAAUUAAAUCCUAGAACUCCUAACUGACCUAAAAUUCAGAUUCUGAAAUUAAUUUAAAUUUUCACCAAGUUUCGAAUUUUCUUGAAAUUAAAAACUAGGAAAAUCCCUUUUUCAAUUUAAAAAUCCAAAACUCUAACAUAACUCUAAUUAAUUUAAAAACUUGUUAAACAAAACUUUUUCCUAUCUAAUACUUGCUGAAAAACAGAUCCAAACUUUAAAAAAGAGAGAUUUUUUGGAAAUUGCAGUUUUGACCCAAAAGUUUCGAAAUUUACACAUGCAACCACACUAGAAGUUCAAAAUCAACUUUUUUAUGAAAAUCCAUAACAAAUCUGAAAUUCCACUUUACUAAAUGCAGAAAGUGAAGUUGAAAAGUUGUUUUAUGCAAAAAUUUCGGAAAUUGCACAAUUUACCCCAAGAUCUCUAGAUCUACACAUGCAAGUCUACUAAAAUUUCAAAAUCAACUUUUUCUUACAAAAAUUCUUUAAAUCCGAAAAUUUUGUUCAAUAAAUGCUGGAAAACAGUUUUGAAAACAUUUUUCGGACAGACUUUACAAAAAUUACAGAUUUGGCCCAAACUUUCGAAGAUCUACACAUGCAACCACAAAAAGUUAAAAUUCAUUUUUUCCUUGAAAACCCCUUUUUGAAAUCUAAAAAUUUUAAUGCUUUUGACCAAUAAAAGUUGUAUCUAGCCACUAUCAACAUAGAUGAUGCAUGCAAGAACAAGAAUUUUACAAGAAACACUCAUUUUCCAUUUUUCUUCAAAAAGCCCUAAAUUUACGAAAUCUUCCCCAAUCUUUUAAAAUUUCAUGAAAAUCAUUUCAAUACUAUUGAUGUCCCUUAAUUGCAGCAAGAAAUCGAGUUUCUUACCUUACAAUCGAAGAAAGAAAAUAGCCGAAAGGGAGGGGGCUUUCAAGCACCAAAAUCCAACCAAGCCACCUUGAUUGUGAAGGAAAUGGUGUGAGCUUCAAGGAGGAAGGAGUUGUGAUCUCCCGUAAGGAGGCAAGUGGUUUUGAUGGUAUUUUUGGAGUAGUCUAUGGCAAGAGUUAAAUAAGGAACUCUCAUUUUUAUGUUGGGAAUUUUUUGAAAAUGUGAAGUGAGGUGGAGAGAGGAGAGCCGAUGAUGGUGGUGAUGGUUUCGGUGGAGGAGGGAGAGGAAGACAAGUAAUGGUUGAGGUGUUGGAAGAAGAAAGAUGAAGGGUGUCUCUUCAUCUUACAAGGGGAGUGUUGAGUGUAGGUUUAGCUAAAAUGAUUAGGGGUUGCCAAGUGUAAUUGCAUGCUUAUUACUAAUUAUUUUAUUAAUAUAAAUACAACAACACCACACACACACAAUCCGAACACACACACCCAUUUCGGAUAUAUAUAUAUAUAUAUAUAUAAAUGUAUAAUGCAAGUAUUAACAUAUAUGUAUGUAUACGUUUGCAUGCAUGUAUGUACGUAUACAUAUAGGUAUAUAUAUAUAUUCCACAAAAUGUUCAAAUAAUUUAUCAAAUGAAUAAAAUACGCAAUUAUUCACAUAAACCACGUAAUUCACGAAAUUUCAUAGUAUUUCAAUUCACGGGAAUUUAAAUCAUAUAAAUCACAUAUAUAAUAGCGCACGUAAUCAUUCAUGUAAGGAACAUAAUUAAAUUCACGUAAUGCAUAUAAUUAAUAUCACGUAAUAAUAUUUCCUAAGGGAUCUCGAGUUAGAAAUAUUAAUCUCGGGUUAGAAAUAUUAAUCUCGGGUUUUAGGGUUUUCGGGUUUUGGAAAGGUGGGGUGUUACAUGUAAUCGAAACUAGUUCGAUCUAAAAUUUUUAAAUUCCGCUGCGUAUACAUGCACGAUCCCCAACAGUGGUAUCAGAGCCACGGGUUAAUCGUUUAUUUGUCAACGUGUUUAUCGUUUUCUAAAGCAUGCUUCGAUUUGUUGAAUUGUUGAAUUUUUGGUGUUAUCAAAUUGGGUGGUUUAAUAUUAAUUAAAUAUUUUGAAUACUUCAGAAAAUAUAAAAUUUUUAAUUUAGAAAAUUGGAUUUUUUUUUCUGCUGUUUUUCAGCUGACCGAACCGGUCCGGUCGGACCGGUCUGACCGGUCCGGUUAGCACAAAAAAAAAAAAAUAUUUGAUUUUCUGAUAUUAAUAUUAAAAUUAAUUGAUUUUUAAUUUUUGAAAUUAUUUAUCAAUUAAACCCAAUUAGAUAAUUGAUCCAUUAAUUUAAUUUGAAUUCAAAGAAUAGUGUUGGAUUAAUUAUUUAAUUUAAUCGUUAAAUUAGUUUAAUUAAUGGAACACAAAUUAAAUGGCAAAUAAUUAAUGGACUUCAUUCUUAUUUGAUUGAUUUAUGAAUGAAGGGAGUCCGUUAAUUAUAUUUUCAAUUAAUCGUAUUAAUUAAUUCAUGAGAUGAAUAAUUGUGAUUAAGUACGAUGAUGAUCGUAUGUCUCUCUUAGGAUCAAUAUGCGUUUCCACAUACCUAGAGAACAUUGUUGUAGGAAUCACAAACGUGUUAGAGUAGGUGACCAACAAGCCAACAUGUGGCUGUGGUCUUUCGUAUUUAUUAUUGUAAUAAACGAACCUUUAUUCGUAUUAAUGAUAAAACACCUUGGCAUUCUAUAUCUUUGUCCCUUUGUCACAAGCAUAGAUAUAGUACUUACAGUUAUUACAAGUACUAGUAAUUGAUCGUUAGGAUCGUGAGAUAUUUACUUAAGUAUUAUAACUGUUAAACGUGUUCCUAGUCGAAGGGUUACGCCACUAAUGAGGAUAUCGGCCUUUCCCAUUAAGACUAGCACUUAGUGUAUGUGUAUUGCAUCUCAUCAGUAAACGGUAUUGUGAUAUCGGCAUGCAUAAGUGGGUGCUCGUAAGUUGACGAGUUCACUGAACUCCCUCACCCUAGAAAUCUCUAAGUGGUUCCCAAUAAUCGAGUAGAGAUAUCUAUGGUAUAGUUGUACACCAUUAGUCCUUAUGACCUAGACAUCACCGUGACUUCACUAGAGGACCAGCUGUAUCGUGACCUGUCCCUGAGUUCCACCGAGGACCAUCCCAAGGGCCAGUGUUCGUGCAGUCCGAAAUCUAGUGGGAGGUCUGUGCAUUGUAGUCGGGGAUUCGAUCGCUAGAAUAGUCUUGGAUGUCCUGUGUGUUCUGAAAGUUUGUAAUCAUUCUAAGUCUCUGGCCAGAGCUGACUAAGUGAUGAUUAGAGAAUUCGAUUCUCUAAGUCAUGCACGUGACGAUUACAACACUUGGAACGAUCGCACCGUCAUCGAACAUAUAAAGAGGUCUCGAUGAACCAAUGCCUCUAGUUCGAUCGGGACAUAUGUAUCGAAGGGACCGUACUGUACGUUAACUAUAUCUGAAGGUUCUUGCAGGCACUUCAUUUGUAUCUAGGGAAUCAUGACGCGUAGUUGCUAGACGCCAAUCUUGAUUCGUUGGGUGAUUAAGGUGAAACGAGCUUCAUCUUAAUCGUAACUCGAAGGGGACGAGUUUUGACCACAAAGGGUUGUGGGCCCACGGCUAGCUUACACCUGAACCAUCGAGGGUCACACUGCUCGUGCACAUGAGAUCUUUGAAUAAACGGUCAGAGAUAAAAUAGUUUAUCUUUGCAUGAUUGGAAGUCAAUAUGAUUGAGUCCAACAUUCGUAAUUUGGAAUUAUGAAUGAGAAUCAGAAAAGGAAAAGAAUAGGCGAACGUGUUAGUGAACUUUCUAAAUCGGGAAGUUUCCAAAUUUAGAAAGUCCACUGAACUAGGGUUUCCACUUUUGGAAAGUUGGAAAAUAAGAGAUGGCACUCGUAAUGACGAGGAAGUUAUAAUGAUUCCGAAAAUGCAAUCGUUGCAAUUUUUCGGUCAUUGAAUUGAGAGAGACGAGCAAGUAAAGGAACUAACGAGCUUAAGCUGUUGGGCCCAGUCCAACUUAAGCCCGCUAGGGUUUUAUGCAAGGGACUAUAAAUACAUGAUUUAUAGACCUUGCACAAAUAUAACAAACCCUAACCCUAAAGCGGCCGUCCACCUCUCUCUCUCGCGCGGCCACCUCCGCCGUUGACUCCGCCCCGUCGCCGGAAUCGGCCAUCCCUUGGCCGAUCCCAUUCGGUAUUCUUUUCUUUCUCGUUUCUUCCGUUUUAUUCUAACUACUUCGUGUCUAGUGCCACGUUUUAGUAGAUCGAAGUAUACGAGGUGAAAUCCGAGAGGAGGAAGAUCGUAGAUCGAAGAACCGAGGAGCAACGCACGAGCCGAAGCCGCACGCUGCCCCACGCGCCGCCCGGAAGUUCGCGCGUGAAACUCACGCGCCGCCGUGACCUCACGCGCCGCUGCUGCCGCUGCACCGCUGCUGCCCCGAUUGUACGGAUUGGUUUCCGUAGCAAUCACGACGUGCUAAACGCUCCUACCUCACGCUUCAAGAGGUAAACACGCGAAACCCUAGUUUCGAUUCGAUUAUGUUUAAACUAUUAUUUCAUGUUUGUUUCGUAUGAUUUUAUGUGAUUAUGUGUAAUCGAUUAAAUCAUUGUAAGCAUGUUAUUUGGUUUAAACGCGAGCAUGUUAGUUGAUUUAAAUUCGAUUGAAUUUAUUAGCAUGUAUGUUGUUUUUUAAUUUCGCUGGAAGCGCAAAGGUACGCAAUUAAUUGAAUUUAAUUUAUCGGGCAUGUUCUUAUGUGUUUUAAAGUCGUUUGAAUCGCAUAAAUUUUUGUUUUCCGCUGCGUAUGCGUGCCCGAAACCCAACAAAACGAUCAUAACCUAAAACUUCCGAUGAGCUAAUAAGAUUUAAUAAAUAAAAUCCCUCAUUCUUAAUCAAGAAUUUUCAAUUAUCAAGCUAUAAAGAAAAACCAAAUUGUUGAAUUUUUCUUUCCUUCUACCAACAAUUAAAUUAUGUGUAGCCUCUCAUAAUAGUGUAGUAAGUCGUGUUAGCGGGGAGUGCUAUUGUGGGAUAAGCUGUAAUUUAAUUCACAUUAGAUGGAGAUACGGUGAUAGAUAAAAUUAUAUUGGAUUAAUGUGGUCGCCUAGAUUAACUAGGGAUUGCAUUAGUUUGAUAUAGUUGGAUCUGUGACAUCUCAUAUUGGUAGGCUAGACUUGACACACGAAGAUUUUGAUAUUCGCUAGAUUAACUUAGGUCAUUAUCAAGUGUGAGGUAAAUCGAACUUUAGGGUCACAUAGUGAUGUGAUUGAUAGUACUCUACCUUAGGCUUGUGUAAUCGGGAUAGAUUAACUACGGGUUACAUUAGCGCUAUUGGACCUAAAGCCCAUUAAAGAAAAAUAAGUUUUCUCGAUUGUCUGCUAGAGGGUGGUGGAAUUCGAUAAAAUUAGUAGGAGAACAAUUAAAACAUAAAAGUCCAAAAUUUUAAUUGUAACGAUUAUUACGAACUAAACUCUAAUUAUUGUCUUCUUAAAAUUUUCUCUGCAACAAUGUCCAAAAAUCCCUUUUCCUCUAUCCUCGACCAAAACAAACUCACCGGUCCAAGCUAUUUGAUUGGCUUCGCAAUCUGAAACUUGUGCUCCAAGUCGAGGAGCGUCUCUAUGUGCUCAAUGAACGCCCCCCCGCUGCUCUCCCUGCGACUGCUACUGCUGACGAGACUGCCACUUUCGAGGCAUGGAAGAAGGACGACCUCCAUGCGAGGUGCUACAUGCUAGCAUCCAUGGUGCCAGAGCUCGCGAGGAAGUAUGAGUCUCACGUACAUGCUUGCGAUAUCAAGCAUCAUCUUGAAAGCAUGUACAGUGAGAAUACUAGGGCAUCGAGGAACUCAGCUACCAAGGAGUUGAUCACCAUGAGGCUGCGUGAAGGGGCUUCGGUCCACGAGCACGGUCUCAAGAUGAUCACUCUCCUUGAGAAGUUGGUGAGCCUUGAUGUCACCCUCCCAGCCGAGCUCUCGGUGGAUUUGAUCCUACUGUCCCUUCCUAGUUCAUAUGAAUCGUUCAUAGUGAACUUCAACAUGAACAAGCUCGAUCCACCAUUGGAUGAGUUGUUAAACAUGUUGGUCAGCUAUGAGUCCACGAUCAAGAAGGAGAAAUCUGUUCUCCUAGUUGCUCCUUCUGCAAAGAAAGGUUCUUUACAGAAGAAAAGGAAAUAAAGGAGUUUCGGCCCGAGCAAGAAACUUGAGAAGGGCGAGUCGAGCGGAGUGAAGAAUGACAAGGUCACCAAACAAGUUGAUGACACUUGCCAUCAUUGUGGAAAGAAGGGCCAUUGGCGACGCAACUGCAAGGCUUACCUCGAUCAGAAACGUUCUGAAAAGGGUACGUAUUUAAUAGAAGUUAAUUUGUCCGUUAAAUCUUCUUCUUGGGUAUUGGAUACUGGUUGUGGCUCACAUCUUUGUAAUGAUUUGCAGCUCAUGACAAGAAGUAGGCGGCUUAAUGUGGGUGAGACCUACCUAAGAAUGGGCAACGGAGCAAGGGUUGCUGCUGAAGCCAUUGGGACAAUUUAUCUUUCUGUUUUGGAUUCUAGUUUUUCCAUUGUUUUGAACAAUUGUUUAUUUGUUUCGUCACUUAUUCGAAACCUUAUUUCUAUUCCUGUUUUGGAUAAUGAAGGUUUUACUUUUGUUUUUGGAAAUUCGAUUUGCAUUAUACAAAAGGAUCAAAAUAUGAUUUGUAAGGGACAACUUAUAAACAACUUAUAUGAACUAAAUCCAAAUGAAAUACCUAUUAACGUUAUAUCAGCAAAACGAAAAGAUAUAAGUCUUAACCCCGCACAACUUUGGCACGCUCGACUGGGUCACAUUUCCUUGAGAAGGGUGAACAAGUUUGUAAGUGAAGGAAUGUUCUCCUUGGAGGACGUGAAAUCACUUCAAACUUGUGUGUCCUGCCUUAAAGGAAAAAUGACCAAGACUCCCUUCAAAGGGAAGAUGGAACGAGCCGAGGGUCUUUUGGAUUUGAUCCAUUCAGACGUGUGUGGUCCACUAAGAGUUAGUGCUAGGGGUGGUUUUAACUACUUCGUUACCUUUACCGAUGAUUAUUCUAGGUAUGGUUUCGUGUACUUGAUGAAGUAUAAAUCUGAAACUUUUGAAAAGUUCAAAGAUUUUAGACACCAAGUAGAAAACCAACUCGGUAGAUGUAUUAAGAAACUACGAUCCGAUCGUGGUGGUGAAUACUUAAGUACUGAGUUUAUAGACUAUCUUAAAGAGAAUGGGAUUCUGUCUCAAUGGACUCCUCCUGGAACUCCUCAACUUAAUGGAGUUUCCGAAUGUCGGAAUCGAACACUGUUAGACAUGGUUCGAUCUAUGAUGGGGUUCACCAAGCUACCGGCAUACCUGUGGGGUCAUGCACUCCUAACUGUCGUGUAUUUGUUGAAUAGGGUUAAUACCAAAGCAGUUAACUCCACACCUUAUGAACUUUGGCACUCCAAGAAACCCACGUUUAAACAUAUUAGGAUAUGGAGUUGUCCCGCUUACGUGAAGCGGCUAGUGGGAGAUAAGUCGGAUAGAAAAUCCGACUUAUGCUAUUUUGUGGGGUAUCCCGAGGAUUCCAUGGGAUACGAAUUCUACUAUGUUUCCGAGGCAAAGGUGUUCGUCUCGUGAAAUGCCGUGUUCCUUGAGAAGGAAUUUCUAUCGGAUAGAAAGGGCAGUGUAGUUGAUCUCGAAGAAGUUCGAGAACCACAAUCUGAAGUUCAAGCACAACAAUCAGAAAAUGAACCAAUUCAACAAACCACUAAUAUACCUCCUGAACCGUCGCUGCGUAGAUCCGAAAGAGUUCGGAGAGCGCCCGAUAGGUUAUUCCUCAUUGAUGAAGUUGACCAAGGAUGUGAUCCCAGAACUUUCAACGAAGCUGUAUCGGAUACAGACAAGGGACAUUGGCUAAAUGCCAUGAAAUCCGAAAUGGACUCUAUGUACUCCAACAAGGUAUGGACCUUGGUAGAUCCACCCGAGGGAAUCGUUCCCAUAGGCUGCAAGUGGAUCUAUAAGAAGAAAAUUGGAGUAGAUGGAAAGGUAUCGACCUACAAGGCUAGAUUGGCAGCGAAGGGUUAUACUCAAAAGCAAGGAGUUGACUAUGAGGAAACCUUCUCACCAGUUGCUAUGCUCAAGUACAUUAGGAUUUUGCUGGCCAUCUCUGCGUGGUAUGACUACGAGAUAUGGCAAAUGGAUGUGAAGACCGCUUUCCUUAAUGGGGACAUUGAGGAAGAAAUUUACAUGGCGCAGCCGGAAGGCUUCAUAUCUUCUGGAGAUGAGCAAAAGGUUUGCAAACUCCAGCGAUCCAUUUAUGGAUUGAAACAAGCAUCCCGUAGUUGGAACAAAAGGUUCGACACAACUAUCAAACAGUUUGAAUUUGUGAAAAACCCGGAGGAACCUUGUGUCUACAAGAAGGUUAGUGGGAGUGCAGUGCCUUUCCUUGUACUUUAUGUUGAUGACAUACUACUCAUUGGGAAUGAUGUAGGGAUGUUGCAGUCAACUAAAGUAUGGUUAUCCACACGUUUCUCAAUGAAGGAUUUGGGAGAAGCAUCCUACGUAUUGGGAAUACGGAUCUAUAGAGAUAGAUCGAGGAGAUUGAUUGGCUUGUCCCAAUCCAUGUACAUAGACACCAUUCUUAAACGGUUUAGCAUGGAAGAAUCCAAGAAGGGAUUCUUGCCAAUGUCCCAUGGGGUUUAUCUCUCGAAAUCCAUGCGUCCUCAAACGCAAUUGGAAAUCGAGGAUAUGAAAAGGACACCUUAUAUGCAUCCGCUAUAGGAAGAAUAAUGUAUGGCAUGCUGUGUACACGACCUGAUAUUGCGUAUGCUGUGAGCGUCACAAGCAGAUUUCAGUCCGACCCCGGCCCAGCCCAUUGGAAGGCUGUGAAGGACAUUCUCAAGUACUUGCGAAGAACUCGAGAUUUGUUUUUGGUCUAUGGGGAUACCGAGUUGAAAUUAGAAGGCUACACGGAUUCUAGUUUUCAAUCGGACGUGGAUGACUCGAAGUCAAACUCGGGGUAUAUAUUUAAAGUCAACGGGGGCGCCGUGUGUUGGAAGAGUUCCAAACAAGGCACGACGGCUGAUUACACCACCGAGGCUGAAUAUAUUGCAGCAUCAGAUGCUUCAAAGGAAGGGUCAUGGAUUAGGAAAUUCAUCCAAGAGUUGGGUGUAUUUCCAAACGCUAGCGAUCCAGUACGGCUGCACUGCGAUAACAACGGAGCCAUAGCGCAAGCUAAGGAACCAAGAGCUCAUCAGAAGUCGAAACACGUUUUGAGAAAAUACCAUGUGAUCUGAGAGAUCAUAGAGAGAGGUAAAGUCAAGCUCGACAGAGUCACCUCGGAGGACAAUAUUGCAGAUCCCUUCACCAAGCCAUUGUCAGGAUCAGUCCACGAGAAACAUCGAGAGUCGAUGGGACUUAGAUUUAUGAGUAGUUGGCUUUAGGUCAAGUGGGAGAUUGUUAGAGUAGGUGACCAACAAGCCAACUUGUGGCUAUGGUCUUUCUCCUUUUCCUUGUAAUAAAACAAUCGUUUUUCGUUCGUAAUAAUAAAACAUUUCAUUUGGCAUUCUAUAUCUCUUAUCCCAUGCAAGCAACAUAGAUAUAGUCCUAACGAGUUACUCUAUUACUGUGAGUUGAUCUAGUAGAAUCGUGAGAUAACUCAGCAAUGUAAUGUAACUGUUAAACCUUGUUCCAAGUCGAUGGGUUACGCCAAUAAUGAGGAUACCGGCCUUUCCCGUUUGAGACUAGCACUUAGUGUAUAUGUACUGCGUCUCAUCAGUCCUCGGUGUUGUGACAUCGGCAUACUUGAGUGGGUGCUCAUAUUAGAUGAGUUCACUGAACUCCCUCGCCCUAGAAAUCUAUAAGUGGUUCUCAUUCAUCGAGUAAUAGGUUUCUAAGAUAUAGUUGUACACCAUUAGUCCUUAAGACCCAGACAUCACCGUGACUUCACUAGAGGACCGAUUGUAUCGUGACCUGUCCAUGAGUCCCACAACGGACCGCUCCAAGGGCCAACGUUCGUGCAAUCCGAAAUCUAGUGUGAAGUCUGUGCAUUGUAGUAGGGGAUUCGAGCUCUUGAGUAGUCAUGGAUGUCCUGUGUGUUCUGACGGUUUAUAAUCCAAGGAAUCUCUGGCCAGAGUUGAUAGUGGGGUGAUUAGGGAAAUGUGUUUCCCUAAGUCGCACACGAAUGGAUUUAUAAUACCUAGAACGUUCGCACGGUUAUUGAACUUUAUAAGAGGUCUCGGUGAACCAAUGCCUCUAGUUCAAUCGGGACAUGUGCUGCGAAGGGAUCGUACUGUACGCUAACUAUAUCAUAAGGUUCUUGCAGGCACUUCACUUGUAUCUAGGGAAUCAUGAUGCGUAGUUGCUAGACGCCAAUCUUGAUUCGUUGGGCACCGAUUUGAUCGGGGAUUAGGUAAAAUGAGUUUUACUCUAAUCGGGACUCUUGGGAGAAGUUCGUAUAUGAACAAUGUGUUGUUCGAAUCACAAAGCGUUGUGAGCCCACAGCUAGCAUACACCUGAACCAUUGAGGGUCACACUUCUCGUGUAUUAUAGAUCCUUGAUAACAACAAGCAUAGAUUAAUGUGUUAAUCUUUGAACGAUUGGAUGUCGAUAUGAUUGAAUCCAAGAUUCGUAAUUGUGGAUUGCGAAUCGGAAUAAACGUAGAGAAAGAGAGACAUGCGGAUUUUAGUGAACUUUCUAAAUUGGGAAGUUUCCCGAUUUAGCAAGUCCACUGAAGUGGAAGUUUCCAAUUUUGGAAAUUGGAAAUUUCGAAGAGGCACUCGUAUCGAUGAGGACUUUGAGCUCGUCAGAAAUGUAAUUUUGUUAUAUUUUUGUGAACGAUCGUUUAUUAGAAACGAGGCCGACGAGGGAAUGGGCUUAAUACAUCAGUGGGUCAAGCCCAAUGACUUAAACCCACUAGGGUUGAAAACCCUAAGUAUAAAUCGAUCUCAAACAAGAGUUUGAGAUCAGAUUUUAUGCACCAAACCCUAGCCGCCCAAGCCCUAGCCGCUCAUCCCUUCGGCCGUUGCUGCCCCGCCGCGCCACCGCCGAUCACCGCCGGUUUUCUCCUCUCUUCUCCUUCGUUUACUUGUUGUUUAUCUAACUCGUUUACAUCUAGUGCUGUAGUUCGAGUGGGUCGAAAAUACGAGGUGAAACCUAAUUGGAGAGGAGCUGCUGCCCCGACGAAUCCACGCACCGCCGCUGCACCGCCCACGCGCCGCUACGCCGCCCACGCGCCGCCGCUGCUGCUGCCACGUACCGCCGCUGCUGCUGCCACACACCGUCGUUCGUCGCUUGCUGGAUCAGCUUGUUCCAGCCGUGAGUUGCAGCCCUCAGGAUUGGUAAUUUGCAGCUUGUACGUGAUUGGUUCUAGGUUUCGAUUCGUCGAAAUCUCACGCUACAAGAGGUAAAUAAAUCGAAACUUUCGUAAAUUAAUUCGAGCAUGUUUAUAUGAAUUAAAAUUUAUGAUUAUGAGUAAUAUGUGAUUACGUGUUUCGAUUUUAUUGAAUGAUGAACAAGCAUGUUUCAUAAUUUUCGGUUUUAUGUGUUUUUCAAUUAAAUCGAUAAUUACCAUAUGUAUGGCGGAAGCGUUAAGGUACGUUGACUAUGUGAUUAGUUUAUGCAUGUAAUGGAAACUAGUUCGAUCUAAAAAAUUUAAAUUCCGUUGCGUAUACAUGCACGAUCCCCAACAAGUUCGACAAGCUACGAGAGUGUAAGUAUCUCGGUACUUAUGUUUGACAAAUUUGUAGAAAUUAAUCGUCUGAUAGUUCUCGAGAGACGAGCCAGUUCCCCAUCGAGCAUCUUCAACUCUGCGCCCUGCGGGAAUAAGUCUUUUACUUAAUUGAACACUUCUAGAUAAAAAUUAGUAAUCGUCCACCAAGUUUUCUAGUUUACCGUUGUUUUUUCGUCGUUCUGUUUUUUUCUGUAAUAACUAUGCAUUGCUUAGUUAUAUGCUCUUUUGAAACCCUGGAAUCAAGAUAAGAUACAUUAUUUUAUGCAAAUAUUAUUUAUGUCGUCCAUUUUGGCUACUCGUUGUUUAUUUCGUUUUCUGCCUAUAUAACAUUGAUUUUCGGGUUUUCGGUUUUUUUGCAGAAAAUUUCUCAUUGCUUCUGUUGUUCCGUCUUCCAAGAGGCACCAAAGAUGAAUAGAAAUGCCGAGAUUGAUAGAUGGGACGUAUUCUAUAAGAUCGAUAAGUCGACAUCAAUGUUUCCAAAGAAUCGUAUCCUUGGUACCUAUUUGUUUUUGCUUAUCCAACCGGGGUUUUACUCUGAUGAACUGUAUCUUUUAUCCUUUACCAGAUAUCGAGAAAAGUAAUUGUUAUUAUGUGACUCAUAUCCACGUGUACAUGCCAAGUGGAUACUUUAUCUGGGUCAGCAGUUAGAGUAAAGCCAAAAGGAUGAGCUGGAAAGUGUAAGGAGCUGUUACACUAGAAGACAGAAUCCGUGAGGACCACUCUGACAGUGGUGGACACCUGUCGAGCUCUCAGUGGGUUGCUUGGGGACCAAGUUUGCUUUUUGCUAGGGUUUGCUGCAUAUAUAAAACACUUGGUGGAUGAGGCUUGGAGGCUAAGGCUAAUCAAGGGGAUAAGGCUUGAAGGGCUGGAAACUCAAGAACAAAAGGAAUAAGCUAGAGGGAAAGCAAGAAAGAAAUCUCCACAGGUUUUGUGAGAUUUGGGGUUGGGAAACAAGAGAGAAAUAGUGAGGUAUACACAUGGGAGUGUCAAUACAGCUUAGGUGAAAUAGCUGUUGAGAGCUUGAGUGUUUUCACUAUCUUGUAAUCUGUCACCUUCUUGAUCUAGUGGAUUUUGUUCUCUCUGCACAUUGGAUGUAGGCCUGUGGUGAUACAGGUCAAACCACUUUAAAUAUUGUGUUCUUUAUCUAUUCUAUAGCUUUCAGUUUUAGAUAUGUGGUAGCUGAAGUUGUAUUAUCUGCAACGGUGUCAACAGUCGGUUGAGUCAACACAGUGGUAUCUGUGUGUUCUUUCUUGGCUUGAUUUUGAUUUUGUGUGGCUUGUUAUUGUUUGUGGGUCUGAAUCCACAACAAUUGGCGCCGUCUGUGGGAAGAUCUGAGCACACAGUAUGGGAUCUACCAAGUUUGAGGUGGAGAAGUUCUCGGGAUCUAGUGAUUUUGGUCUUUCGAUGGUGAAGAUAAGAGCCAUGUUGGUGCAGCAGGGGUUGAUAGAUGCUUUGAAGGGUGCCAAAGAACUUUCGGAUUCCUUGUCAGAAAAGGAGAAGAAUGACUUGAUGGAUAGAGCUCACAGCUCAGCUCGAUCAUCUUGAGCCUUGGCGAUAAGGCUCUGAGGGAAGUAGCUAGAGAGACCACUGCACAAGGCGUUUGGUUGAAGUUGGAACAACUGUAUAUGACCAAAUCUCUCACAAACAGACUCUACUUGAAACAAUGAGUGUAUUCCUUCAAGAUGAGUGAUGACAAGCCUCUGUCAGAACAGAUAGAUGAGUUCAACAAGAUUCUGGAUGACCUUGAGAAUAUUGAGGUGAAGCUUGAAGAUGAAGAUAAAGCUCUGAUGCUACUCAAUGCUAUUCCAAAGUCUUAUGAGCAUUUCAAGGAUGCAUUGGUGUAUGGGAGGGAACAAACCAUAUCACUGGAAGAGGUGCAAUCUGCAAUCAAGGCUAAAGAAUUGUAGAAGAAACUUGAAGGGAAAGCUCAUGAAUCUGGAGAGGGACUCAGUGUUAGGGGCAGAUCUGAGAAGAGAUAAUUCAUGGACAAGAAACUGAAGUACAAAUCUAAGUCAGUAAAGGGCAAGAAGACUCCGGUAAAAAAAGGGUGAAUGGAAGUGUUAUAGGUGCAAGAAACCUGGUCACUUCAAGAAGGAUUGCCCGGAGAAGAAAGCACAAGAUGAGAGGCAGAACAAUGGAGAAGCUGGUAUUAUAGCUGAGGAAUUUGAAUCCUAUGAUGUCAUUGCUGUCACUGAUGGUGAUGUCAAAAGAAGGAUUGGAUAUUGGAUUCAGGGUGUUCUUUUCACAUGACAUCAAAUAAGGACUGGUUUGAAACUCUCGAGUUAAAUGAGAGGGGUAUAGUCUUAUUGGGGAAUAAUGAUGCUUGCUAUGUGAAAGGGAUUGGUUCAGUAAGAAUCAAGAUGUUUGAUGGAAUUGAGAGGGUCUUACCGGAAGUGAGAUUUGUUCCUCAAGUCAAGAGGAACUUGAUAUCUCUUGGAGUCUUAGACAAGAGUGGCCACACGUUCAGUGGGGGCAAUGGCAUUAUGAAGGUGUCUAAGGGGUCUAUGGUUGUGAUGAAGGCAUACAGAAACAAUGGAAUAUACCAUAUGUUUGGACAGACGGUUAUUGGUAGUGUUUUUUAGUAUUGAAAACCACAAGGAUGAUAAGACUAAGCUCUGGCAUUUGAGGCUUGGUCAUAUCAGUGAGAGAGGUCUACAUGAAUUGUCUAAACAACUGUUGUUGGGACAGGACAAGGUAGAUAAGUUGGAGUUCUGUGAGUUAUGUGUUCUUGGAAAGGCUAAGAGGAUCAGUUUUGGUACUGGAUCACACACUUCAAAAGGGCCUUUGGAUUAUGUUCACAGUGACUUGUGGGGACCAGCUAGGACAGACACUCUUGGUGAUGGCAAGUAUUUUCUUUCAAUCAUAGAUGAUUACUCAAGGAGGCUGUGGACUUUUGUUCUGAAAUCGAAGGAUGAAACAUUUCAGAGGUUUAGGGAUUAGCUAGUGGAAGUGGAGAAUCAGUCAGGAAACAAACUGAAACAUGUGAGGACAGAUAAUGGCUUGGAAUUUGUUUCCGGUGAAUUCAAUGAUUUCUGCAAAACUAGGGGCAUCACAAGGCACAAGACAGUAGCACACACUCCUCAGCAAAAUGGAGUGGUUGAGAGAAUGAAUAAAACCAUUCUGGAGAGAGUAAGGUGCAUGCUUAUUGGUGCUGGUUUGCCAAAGAAGUUCUGGGGAGAAGCUGUGGCAACAGCAACAUAUCUCAUCAACAGAAGUCCCUCCACAACAAUUGAGUUCAAAACUCCAUAUGAGAAAUGGUAUGGUAAACCUCCUAAUUUCAGUAAUUUGAAGGUCUUUGGUUGUUUAGCCUAUGCCCAUGUUAAAGGUGAUAAACAAGAACCAAGAGCCCUCAAAUGUGCCUUCAUUGGUUAUCCAACCGGGGUUAAGGGGUUUAAGUUAUGGUGUCUGGAACCUGGUCAAGGGAAGUGUAUUGUGAGUAGGGAUGUAGUUUUUGAUGAAUCUAAGAUGGGAAAGAUGAUUGGAUAUCAGUCUACUCAAGGAACUUCAAGUAAUGGUACUCAGAUUGAGGUGGAGUUUCCAUAAGAGACCACAGUUGAGCAGGCUGUGACCACAGAUGGGCAGGAAGAAUCUGAUCACAGUGAAAGUUCUGAAUCAGAGGAGGAUCUGAAAGAUUACCAUUUGGUCAGAGAUAGAACCAGGAGGCAAAUUAAACCACCUACAAGAUUUGGACAAGCUGAUAUGAUUUCCUAUGCACUCAAUGUUGCUUCUGAGAUUGAAGAAGGUGAGCCAGCCACUUACCAGGAAGGAAUUAAUGGGAAGGAAAGGAGAAAGUGGAGUGAAGCUAUGAGGGAAGAGAUAGCUUCAUUGAAGAAGAAUGGGACUUGGUUCUUGGUGGAGAGACCAAGUGGGAAGAAGCCGGUGAGUUGUCGAUGGCUCUUCAAGAAGAAGGAGGGAAUCCCCGGGGUGGAGAAGCCUAGGUACAAGGCUAGAUUGGUUGCUAGGGGAUUCUCACAAGUGAAAGGGAUAGAUUUCAAUGAAAUUUUUUCACCGGUGGUUAAACAUUGCUCAAUCAUAAUCGUGUUCUCACUAGUAGCUCAGUAUGACCUUGAUUUGGAACAGAUGGAUGUGACAACAGCUUUCUUACAUGGUGACUUGGAGGAAAAGAUUCAUAUGGAUCAGCCAGAGGGAUUCAUUGAGGAAUCUAACCAAGACAAGGUCUGAUUGUUGAGGAAAGCACUGUAUGGACUUAAGCAAAGUCCAAGGCAGUGGUAUAAAAGAUUUGAUGACUUUGUGUUAUCAAUUGGUUUCGACAGAUGCAGUUAUGACUCUUGUGUAUAUGUAAGAAAAGCAAAAGGGAGAGUUAGAGCUUACUUGUUGCUGUAUGUGGAUGACAUGCUCAUUGCAAGCAAGUCCAAGGAGGAGAUAAAUGAUAUCAAGGAGAAGCUGAAAUCUGAGUUUGACAUGAAAGACUUGGGGUCUGCCAAGAUGAUCUUGGGAAUGAAUAUAUUGAGGAACAGAAGAAGUGGUUACUUGUUCCUAUCUCAACAGUCUUACAUUGAGAAGCUGUUGUUGAGAUACAACAUGCAUCAGUCCAAGGCAGUGUCUACUUCUAUGGGGCAGCAUUUCAGACACUGAUGAAGAGAAGAGGUACAUGGCAAAGGUGCCAUAUGCUAAUGCGGUUGGGAGCUUGAUGUAUUACAUGGUGUGCAGUCGGCUAGAUUUGGCACAUGCUGCAAGUGUGAUCAGCAGGUUUAUGGCUGAUCCAGGGCAGGUACACUGGGAAGCACUCAAGUGGACUUUGAGAUACAUGAAGGGAUCUGCUGAGAUUGGACUUCUAUUCAAGCGGAAUGAUAGAAUAGAAGCUGAUGCAUUGAAGGGUUUUGUGGACUCAGAUUAUGCUGGUAGUAUUGACACAAGGAAAUCCUUAACAGGAUAUGUGUUCACUCUGUUUGGGACUGCAGUGAGUUGGAAGUCAAUGUCUACUACGGAAGCUGAAUAUAUGGCAGUGACUGAGGCCGUCAAAGAAGCUAUAUGGAUGAUUGGGAUGGUUCAGGAGUUGGGGAUUGAGCAAAAGAAUGUGAAUGUGUACUGUGACAACCAGAGUGCAAUUCACUUGACAAAACAUCAAGUGUUUCAUGAGAGAUCUAAACACAUUGAUGUGAGACUGAACUUUGUGAGAAAUACUGUUUCUAAAGGUCGGAUCAAGGUGGAGAAGGUGCAUACAGAUGACAAUGCUGCUGAUAUGCUAACAAAAUCUUUACCGGUUUCGAAGUUCAAGUAUUGUAUGGACUUGGUGAGCUGUUGUAGGCAGUGCUAGCUUGGUAAGAAGCUAGGUGAGAGGGAAGAGAAGCCUACGUGGAGUAUGAGUCAAGGUGGAUAAUUGUUAUUAUGUGACUCAUAUCCACGUGUACAUGCCAAGUGGAUACUUUAUCUGGGUCAGCAGUUAGAGUAAAGCCAAAAGGAUGAGCUGGAAAGUGUAAGGAGCUGUUACACUAGAAGACAGAAUCCGUGAGGACCACUCUGACAGUGGUGGACACCUGUCGAGCUCUCAGUGGUUUGCUUGGGGACCAAGUUUGCUUUUUGCUAGGGUUUGCUGCAUAUAUAAAGCACUUGGUGGAUGAGGCUUGGAGGCUAAGGCUAAUCAAGGGGAUAAGGCUUGAAGGGCUGGAAACUCAAGAACAAAAGGAAUAAGCUAGAGGGAAAGCAAGAAGGAAAUCUCCACACGUUUUGUGAGAUUUGAGGUUGGGAAACAAGAGAGAAAUAGUGAGGUAUACACAGGGGAGUGUCAAUACAGCUUAGGAGAAAUAGCUGUUGAGAGCUUGAGUGUUUUCACUAUCUUGUAAUCUGUAACCUUCUUGAUCUAGUGGAUUUUGUUCUCUUUGCACAGUGGAUGUAGGCCUGUGGUGAUACAGGUCGAACCACUUUAAAUAUUGUGUUCUUUAUCUGUUCUAUAGCUUUCAGUUUUAGAUCUGUGGUAACUGUAGUUGUAUUAUCUGCAACGGUGUCAACAGUCGGUUGAGUCAACACAGUGGUAGGUAUCAGUGUGUUCUUUCUUGGCUUGAUUUUCAUUUUGUGUGGCUUAUUAUUGUUUGUGGGUCUGAAUCCACAACAGUUAUCAACACAAUACUUAACAUUAAACAGACAUACUGUAUACUUUAAAUCCCGAUGUUUCUGGUGCUUCUACUUUGUUCAACGACAUCUUCGGUGCGUUUGGCAUUGGCAAUAAUCCUGAAACUGUACCAUGUUGCAGCUGGGAAAAUAGUUCUCCUGCCACAUCCAACUGUUUGUAAGCAAAAGCUGUAUUUUAACGAAUAACAUUUUUCACCUCUCUUAUGUUAUAAUUAGCACUUGUCAACCAUAUGAAUGUAGCGGUUAAUAAAUAUAUUUUGCAGUUUAGCUGGCUAACGACUAUUGUAUUUCGAGGACCUAAAAUAAAAAAUAAAAACGAAAUUAUUUCCAUUAAAUGUUUGAUUUUGUCCCCCUCGUGAUUAUAGUUUAUAUAGUCAUGGUUUUAGUGGUUUUCUUUUGAGUCGUAAUUCAUCCGGUUGGCAACUGUAUGUUUGUUAUCUUUGUAGUUUGGCUCACUUGCAACUUUAUCCUGCUUCAGAAUCUCGUAACAACAAUUGACAUUUUUUUGCAUUUUAGAUAUCACACCGUUACUAAGUUUCUCGAAAGCCUCAUAGACAAUACUCACAAUUGCCUACAUCUGAGGCUGUUGGAUAAACACUGCCCAUCAGAUCCUCGUACCGAGAUGCAAGUGCGGUUUCUGGAGCUGGGUUCAAGGUCGGUAUUCAUUAGUGACUAUAGCAUUUUUUUCUGUCUUUAUUCUUGUAUGGUGUAGAAGUUUGGUUCUCUUGUUUCUUCAAUUUUUGAGAUAAAACAGAUAUACUUUAUAAGUUUUUCAAUGAACUUACCAUCUUUUUUCUUUAAUCCGAAAAAAAACAUAAUCAAAAAUAAAAAGUUUAAUAGGAUGGUUUCGUGCUUUUGAUUUCUCUAACAUUUGUGAGUUCAGAGAAAUGAUUCAGGGACAUACUUGUGUACGGGUGGACAAGUUGACACUCAAAACGAAGGAAACCUAGUACGUGUUAUUGUCGCAAGGAAGAUGUAGAAUCGUUUGUAUGGGCAAUUUGUAGGAGAAUCGUCCCUCCCAAACUGCUGGGAGAGCAUUCUAAUUGGAGGAUUCUAAGAACGAACAUCUUUAAGUUCAUUCGUCUCCGAAAAUUCGAAAAGUUCUCACUGAAGGAAUGUUUUCAUAACCUGAAAAUAUCGAAGUUUCCGUUAUUGCAUGAUAAUAUCCAUAAUGGCUGCAGUGUACUUGGUAUUACGGAUAUUGCCAGACACGUGAUUCUCGGAUGCUGGAUAUUUUGGUUUUUUAAAUGCCUCGUGUCGCCGUUGUUUCAAGCCAACUUCUACGUCAUCGAAAGUGAGUUUGAGAGAAACGAGGUUCUGUAUUACCGUAAAUCUACGUGGCGGAAACUGAUAAGAGAAGCUGAAUGCAUGAAGAACGAUACAUUUCGCCCUUUAAAUGUCUCGGCCGUUAGAAAAAUUUUAAAAAACCGAUCGCACGGUUUCUCACGAGUCAGACUUCUUCCCAAGAAAACUGGAUUUAGAAUGCUGGCGAAUCUUCAAGCAUCGUCAAAACUGCGUCUGAACUCAACCUCUUCUAAAUUUCAGUCCGAUGGUUCCGUAAACAAGGUCCUUAACGAUGUUCAAGUGGUUCUAAGAGGUUCGUUGACAAAAGAACGAGAGAAGUUCGGUUCGUCGGUUUUCGACUACAACGAUGUGUACAGAAAGCUCGUCCCUUUCUUGUCUCGUUUGAAGAAGAGAUGGUCGAAAAUGCCGAGGGUAUUCAUUGUGGUUUCUGACGUGUCGAAAGCUUUCGAUUCGGUGAAUCACGAUAAACUGCUUAGUGUGAUGGAGGAUGUCUUAUCGGACGAUGAAUACGCUCUCGAAAAGUUCACUCAGGUUUUCUGCACGAAGAAGGCGUUGAAGGUCCACCAUACUCUGGCACUAGCAGAUCAAGACUUCGUUACCGUAUCGUCUGGCAAAAUCAAAUCAAUUCCUCCUCCAAAGUCUUUGGAUGGCGUUCUCGUUAAUAAGGUAACCUUCGAAAUUCGAUAUUUCCUGCGUCAUUGAUCUUUUCAUUUGCUUGCACGUGGAACAAUAAUUUCGAUUUCUAUUAGCAAAAAAGUAAUUAUUUAUAUAUUUCGAUUUCUUUGAGAAAUGUUAUUUUUUAGUUUUUGAUAAUAAUUCCUCUAGUUAUGAUAAUAAUUCCUCCCCUAUGUACUGAUCAUUAAUUUAUUACAGAGUUUUGGUUCCGAAUUAUUACUUCAAAAUUGAUUGGUUUUAAUUUAGUUAUUGCAUAAAAAAUGAUUGCUGACAUCAAUAUCUUGUAUUGUUUCAUUAUGUAUGUCGUUUCAGGCACUCGACCGAACAAUACGAAAAGCAGACAUUAACACAACUCUGAAAGAGCACAUAAAACGCAACGUGGUGCGGCAAUCAGACAAGAAAUUCUACUUGCAGAAUGUUGGUAUACCUCAAGGUAGCGUUUUGUGUACUUUCCUCUGCUCGCUUUAUUACGGCCACAUGGAAAGGAACGUAGUCUACCCGUUUAUCGAGAAAGCUCGUGAGACCAAUGGUGCUUCAUCUUCGGCGGGGGGCAAAAAUGGAAAACAAAAGUUUGCAUGCGGUUGCGAAUAUAUUCUGCUUAGGUUCAUCGACGACUUCCUUUUCAUAUCGACUUCGGAGAAACAGGCUUCUAUGUACUUCUCCCGUGUGGACAGAGGGUUUCAUGAUUACAACUGCUAUAUGAAUAAGGACAAGUACGGUCUGAAUUUUAAAAUGAAAAACGGGCAAGAAUGCCGGUCAAGUAGUAGACCAUAUGUUGGCCGAGAUGGCGUCUCGUUUCUUCGUUGGAGUGGAGUGCUUGUCAAUUGCUCCACGUUAGAAAUUCAAGCGGACUACACAAGGUUGUUAUAUCUUCUUCCUUAAUUUCAUCGUCUUCUUGCAUGUUUCUUUCUUGUCUGAAUCAAAUAUUAAAUUCUUGAGCUGGCUUUAUAUAAUAAUGCUCGAAUUUUUGUCUUUGCAGGUAUCUCGAUUUUCAUUUGAGUUCAACUCUAACAGUGAGUCGUCAAGGUAAAGUAGGCGAACAGUUGAAAUCAAAGCUGCGUGCUCAUAUGUCGAACAAAUGCCAUCCUCUCUUCUACGAUUCCAACGUCAAUUCGCCAGAUGUCGUCAGGCUCAACAUCUACCAAAUCUUUCUUCUUUGUGCCAUCAAAUUCGUUUGCCAUCUCUCAAACCUCUCGAUUCUACCUAAAUUCACCCCGCAAUUCAUCACCAACGCCAUCGUCGCUUCUGUAAGGUACUAGAACAUCACAAUUUUUUCUUGCAGUUCUAAUCACAAAAAACACACAUCCAUGUGGGUGCGUGCAGAUGAAUAAAUUUUUAUUUUAUAUAUUUUUUUAAAUUUGUUUUUAUUUGAUCACAAAUGCAGGUGCACGAGCAAGUUCAUAGAGAAGAAGAUGUAUUCAUUUAGUGGAGUUGAUAUUGCUUUUCGUCCGAAAUAUGAAGUGAAAAGGGCGGAAGUUUUGUUUCUUGGACUAUAUGCGUAUAAUCGAGUGCUGGAGAAAAAGCAAACGAGAUACAAGAAUCUGAUUCCAUUUCUAAGGACAAAGUUGAAGGCAUGUGGGGAGAUAGCACACAUGUCAUCUGAGCUCAAGUAUGCUAUUCAUGACGAACAUUCAUCUGUUUUUUGGAGAAUCAAAUAUUGAUUUUUACUCCACUUUUUUGGGUUCGAGAAUUGAGAAUUCUCCUUUUGUUUUUAUUAAGUUGGUAAAAACUGUUGGUCGAAAACUAUUUUGAGGGGGCAUAUAGCUUUUGAAGCACAUGUACAAGUUGGGGAUGGAUUAUAUGAAUUUCUCGAUCAACCUCGUUCUCGCACAUGUAACCGUUUUCUUGCUUUAUUACUAAGGUGGUGUUUGCAAAUGCUUUUUGAAAGUGAUUAUGCGGUUUUUUUUGCUCAUAGGUGGUGUUUGCAAAUGCUUUUUGAAAGUGAUUAUGCGGUUUUUUUUGCUCAUAAUCUGUUUUUAGGUAUUUGCAAAAUCAACUUCUGCUUUUGCUUCUCUUAAAAUAAUCUGUUUUAAGCUAUUUUUUUAAAAGCACUCCUAACCCUGCUUUUUCAAUUUUAGUUCAUUUUCCGAAAUAUUUGCAAACACCCCCAACUUUUAGAAAUAAGCACUUAAAUCUAACUUAAAUCACAAUUACUAACUUCUGCUUUUAAAUAAUCAUUUGCAAACACCACCAUAAUCUGUUUUUAGGUGUUUGCAAAAUCAACUUUUGAUUUUGCUUCUCUUAAAAUAAUCUGCUUUAAGCUAUUUUUUUAAAAGCACCCCUAAUCCUGCUUUUUCAAUUUUAGUUCAUUUUCCGAAAUAUUUGCAAACACCCCUAACUUUUAGAAAUAAGCACUUAAAACUAACUUAAAUCACAAUCACUAACUUCUGCUUUUAAAUAAUCAUUUGCAAACACCACUUAACUGAUUUUGCAAGUCAAGUUUGGACUGAAUCGGGACAUUUUAAUUUGGUUUCGGAAUAUCGAUACACAAACGAAAUUCACUGGUUGUGGAAGAUUCAAUAUAUGAGUUUGAUUGUUGUUGGGGCUAAAUACCUAACACGCAAGUGCACGUAUCGCAAACAAGUAGUAAAAGUGGACUCGUGAGAGUCGGAUGUCGAUCCCACAGGGAAUACUCAAAUUACCUAAUCCUAAGUACCAAAUUCUAACAACUAUGAUUUUUAUCCAGCCUACGCAAAGUUAUCAAAUUUAAUCAACUAAAUAAUUAAACUAAUUAUGAAAGCAAUUAAACACGAGAAAAUAUCAAUUAAAACGGACAUAUGAUUUUAUCUUCCCCCUAUGCAAGAAUUGCUCACCCAAAACCCUCAAUUAUGAAAUAUAUGAUUCAUGAUUAUUAACCCGAGACACUAAUUUACUCAUAACCCGAUGUCGCGUGUAUUAUGAGUCUAUUAUUCAUAAACGGUUCACUAUAUGUCUAUGCAAACCAAUUAUGAAUAAAUCAUUAACAAACAAGUCUCCUAAAUGGCUACCUAAGGUGAUAUUUGUAUAUCUACGACACCACAUGCAAUUGACACACUCAUCCGGUGAAAACUACUCGAAGGUUCUUCUACUUACUGUCCAAUUAUCAAAAUAGCUCUAUCGAGUCAAUCCCAAUAAUCACAGAUAAAGCACAUAAAUUGAUCAAGUUCAUGCACUAACAAUCAUAACAAGUAGAAGAAAUAAUCAUAAAAUUAUAAUUGCAUAAUCUCAAGAAAAUGGGUUCACCAUCCCCACAUAGGGUACCAACAAAAUCCUAGAUUGAAAACUUAGCUACUCAUAACGACAAACAUAAUAAAAGUAAUAAAAGUCCUAGAUUAAGAAAAGAUAGGUGAAAGAAGAAUCAUGAUGAAGAUUUGUCAAUUCUCCGUCUUCGUUUCUUCGCUCUCUCGCUCCUCUUCCUCUAAGAUUGUGUUCAAAAGUUCUUUAAUUCGUGCUUGGUUUGCCCUUAAAUAGAUGUCCCAACUUGGUAGAUGAUUUUAGGUUUCCUUGUGUGAUUAAAAGUCCAAAAUUGUCUCGAGCGUGUUUUGGCGCGGCCACGCGAAAAUCAGUGUAAUUCUCACACGGCCGCGCGAGAAUCGCCGAAACCUUCUGUCCAAAAUCUGCAAUUGGCGCGGCCGCGCCAAAAAUAGGCUAAAUUAGGCACGGCCGCGCGGACCAAUUUUCAGCAUAUUUUUGUUUUCUUCCGUUUUUGCCCCUUUUUGACAUUUUUUGGCUCGUUUCGUCCUUGGAACUCCCAAAUCGUCAAGUUGUGCCUAAAAUACAAUAAACCACUCAUUAAGCAUCAUUUAAAUCAAUAAAAGUAUACAAAAAUCCUCUUAAGAAUGUAUACAUUGAGUGUAAAAUAUACACUCAACACACCCCCAAACUUGAACUUUUGCUUGUCCUCAAGCAAAAACUAGCAACUUUCAAAGCAACACUUUCAACAAAUGCCUCUCAUCACAUAGAUUAAUGAUCAACUUUCAUGUUUUCAGAACUUGCAAUUAUCAUGACAAUUCUAAAAAAAUUACAAGCUCGUAAUUCAAAGAUACGUAUUCAGUCACCCUUGCCAAAAAACACAAGCCAUGCUAUCGCUUCAAGUAUCCCAUAUUUGCAAAUUAACAAUAGAGAAAAUUUAUACUUACAUAAUAAUAUUCAACUCCAAAGACUCACCAAAUUUCUUUACUAGGCUAGUAUCAAAUAACUGAGCUAUUGGGAUUAUUGGGACUUUUUGGCUUUCAAAUGUUAGGCUUUUUGGUUCGAGGUAGAAAGUAUGGGUAAAAGUGGAUAUGCUUCUUGAAUUGAGGUGAUUACGCCAAAUUUUGAAUGAUAGACGUUUGAAACAAUGAAUUCACCUCUAAGAACUUUUUAAUCAACUCUCUUAAGAGUUCAAAAGUCUCCACUUUUGCCCUUAAGACAAUGGAUCGAGCUUUCAAAAAAUAAAUUCAACAACUAGUCCUUUCAUCUCCCUUCUAGUCUCUUCUUCUUCUCUCUCUUUCUUCUUCUCUCUUUUUUUUCUUUUUUUUUUAUAUAUAAAUAUAUUUAUAUAUAACUUUCGCAUUUUUUUUUUAAUAAAAAAAAAGAGGAAGAAGAAUGACCUUAUAAAAUUUUCCAACCGAACUCCAAAGGGUAAAUUUUCAAGAAUCUCCAUUUAUUCUACCUUAUACACAUUUGCUAAAAGAAAGAACACCGUUUCUCCAAGGCUCAAUCAAGGUUCGAAUGAUAAAAAUUUAAAGGUAGGCUUGAAAGGCUCAAACGGUUCAAAGAUGGCCCAAAUCACUUCCCAAAUUGCUCAAGAAUUUAAUAUUUCACUUUGUAAAUUCCUAAGGCAAGUUCUAAAACCGAAUAGCAUAUGAUAUAGCAUCAAUUAACUCAAAUUUUAAAACACAAAACUUUAACGAAAGCAACGCAUAAUUCGAGAUUCCUAACAAUGACUCCUUCCUACGACACUUUGAAUCAAAAGCUCACCAAAAUUCGAUCAAAAUCAAGAUAAAGCAAGCAAUUUCACCAUUAAACAUCGACCAUCUUUCAUCAUCAUAAUUCAUCGAAGCAUUUAUCUCAAACACAUUUUUUUUUUCGAAAGCAAUAACUAAAAUAAAAUAACUCAAUUAAAAAAAACUAAGGCAUGUAAACUAAAAAAUUAAAGCAAGUAAUUUUCCACCCCAAACUUAAAAUUUACAUUGCCCUCAAUGUAAUUAGCACGUAAUUUAAGAAUAGAAUACACCUGAAUUAGUCGUCUUGGCCAUGUAUGGGCUACUGAAAUUUUUGCCUUUUAUUGUGCUUCUGUCCAUCUGGCACGGCCGUGUCAGUUUUGAACUGAUUUUCGCACGGCCGUGCGAAUUGCAAAAUUGGGGCAGUAGUUGUCUGUUUCUCGCACGGUCGUGUGAGAUUAUAGUGUUUUUUCUCGCGCGGCCGCGCCCCAAGCAAAAAUCGGACAGUAGCUUCCCCGAUUUUUCACACGGCCGUGUGAAAUUUAGCCUUGUUUUGGGACGGCCGUAUGAGCUCCCGAUUUUUGGUCCUGAAAAUUAAGAAUAUGCUUAAAUUGUUAGCUCGCAUGCUUAUAAAAUAAAUAAAUAAAAUAAAACAAGAAAAUUAAAUAAAAAACAAAAAUCUCGGGUUGCCUCCCGAGAAGCACUAAGUUUAUAGUCUUCAGCCAGACUUUGUUCCUGCUCUUCAAUUCCUUAGCUUUUGAACCCAUCUCCUUACUUCCUUUUGGAGGAAUUCUUAAGUAAAUGGGUUGAUCCGAUUCUUCUUUCGACUGGUUCGCUUAUUCUUCUUGAUGUCAUGAGGCUUGCCAACAUCGUCUUUAAAACCCCAACUCUUUUGACUAUCUCUCGGAAGAGUUGAAAUUGAGUUCAUCAAAUAAACUUGCUCUUUCCGACUCCCGUUUCCGCCAUCAUCUCCUGCACUCAAAGAUGCUUUCCCAUGGUCCAAGAUUAAAACAUCAAAAUUUUUAUGAUUUGUAAAAUCCAUAAGAUCAAUAGCAAAACAAUCAUUAUUAUCACAUGGAUUUUUAUUAGCACUAAAAACAUUAAAUUUUAUCGUUUGAUCAUGCACCGUCAUUGUAAGAUCACCACUAGCACAGUCAAUUAGAGUUUUCGAUGUAGCUAAAAACGAUCUUCCUAAAAUAAGAGGUAUCUCCCUAUCUUCAUCUAUAUGAAGUAUAACAAAAUCAACUGGGUAGAUAAAUUUGUUCACUUUUACUAGCACAUUCUCUAAAAUACCUUUUGGGUAAACUAAAGACCUAUCGGCUAAUUGAAGAGUUAUAGCCGUCGGUUCAAUCUCACCUAACCGAAGAUUUUUAUAAGUGGAAUAAGGCAUAAGAUUAAUGCUAGCGCCUAAAUCAAUGAGCGAUCUAAAAUUUUUACCUCCUAUAGUACAAGGAAUAGUGAACUUACCUGGAUCGCCGAGUUUUUGUGGAAGGGGCCGUGUAAGAAUUGCACUACAAUGCUCCGUGAGUUGGAUCAUCUCGUUCCCUCGCAAUUUCUUCCUCUUUGUCACGAGAUCCUUGAGGAAUUUCACCCACUUUGGCAUCUUUUGAAGGGCUUCGAUAAACAGGAUAUUUAUGUGAAUUUCCUUUAACUUGUCCAAAAAUCCUUGGUAUUCGGCAUCGAGCUUCUUCUUUAGAAGCUUUUGAGGAUAUGGAAUUGGAGGGGCUCGUGAUUUCACUGUGGAUGAUAGUGGUUCUUCGUGAGUUGAUUCUUUUUCCCCACUCACGCUCGGCUUCUCGAUUACCGUGUUUUGCUUCUCUUUUUGUGGGGCUUCCUCCAAUUGUCUCCCAUUCCUUAAACUUACAGCGUUGCACUGCUCGAUGUUGUUCUUCCGAGGAUCUUCUGUAUUUGACGGCAGUGCUCCCGAUGGCCUCGCGUUUAGCUGGGUUGCAAGUUGACCCAUCUGUGUUUCCAAAUUGCGGAUGGAAGCUUGAGUGGAUGUCAUAAAUUGAGCCAAGAUAUUUGCGAGAUCUCCACCUUGAGGUGGUGCUUGCCUUUGUCCUUGCUGAUUUCCUCCCAUCCAAAGUUGGGGUGGUCUUUCCAUCCCGGAUUAUAAGUGUUGGAGUACGGGUUCCUCUGUUGUCGGUUGGUAUCAUUCACGUAAUUUAGAGACUCCGUUUCUUCUAAGCACUGGUCGGGAACUUGGACUGCAUGGACUUGCUGAAUCUGCAAAGCUGCUACUUGCUUUGAUAGCUUUUCUAACUGGGCAGUGAUUGCGGUGACCCCAUCCACCACCAAAAUUCCUCCCGUCUUCUUGGUUCCGCUAUUUGACCGCUCUGAUGCCCGCAUGUAUUUGUUCCUUGCAAUUCGCUCCAAAAGUUCGUAAGCUUCGUCAUAGGUCAAGCUCAUGAACAUACCGCCAGCUGCUGAAUCGAGCACCGUUCUCGAAUUAUCUUGCAGUCCAUCAUAAAAUAUUUGUAGUUGCCGCCACUCUUGAAGUCCGUGAUUCGGGCAUCUCCGAAUUAAUUGUUUGAACCGCUCCCACGUCUCGAAUAGCGCUUCACCGGCUUCUUGUAUGAAGUUUUGUAUUUCUCUCCGGAUUCUCUCAUUUUUUGUUGGGGAGUUGUAUGUGUUCAUGAAAAGUUGUGCUAGUUGGGGCCAAGACGAGAUGGAGUGCGGUGCAUGAGUUUGUAACCAUUCUCGGGCUGCUCCUUGUAAAGAGUGCUUGAACAGGCGGAGUUGCUGUGCUUCAGGUGAUACUCCGUGCAUCUUAUUCGAAUCACACGUUUCGAGAAAGUUGACCAAGUUGAGAUGCGGGUUUUCAUGAGCUAAUCCGCUGAACAACCCAUUGUUUUGGAGCAUAGUAAGGGUCCCGCGCGAAUUUCGAAAUUGUUGGCUUCAAUGGGGGGCUGCUGGAUGCUUGAUUGAAACCCAUUGAGUGUCGGAACGGUGUACUCAUGCAAUGCUCGUUGACGAGGUGGUGGAUUAAUGAGCUGCUGUUGCUCUUGCUCGUUGACGAUAUUUCCUGCUGCAUUGGGUAGGCGCCCUUGGUCAUCUCCCCUACGAUUAUUUUCUUCUUCCAUUGUUGCGGGAAUGUUUUGAGCUAACCGUUUAUUUCUCCUGGCGUGCCUAAACGUUCGCUCAAUUUUCGGGAUCAAGAGGUAGCAAUUUCAUGUCAUGUCCUCUUCGCAUAAAAAGUACCUAAUACAAAAAUAGUAAAAAUAAAAUAAGCAAAUAAAAUAAUUAAAUAAAAUAAAUAAAAACGGCUGAAGUAAGAAAAAGUGCUCAAAUUUAAUAUUAGGAUAAGUAUAUAAUUUAGCCGUAUUCCCCGGCAACGACGCCAAAAACUUGUUGGGGCUAAAUACCUAACACGCAAGUGCACGUAUCGCAAACAAGUAGUAAAAGUGGACUCGUGAGAGUCGGAUGUCGAUCCCACAGGGAAUACUCAAAUUACCUAAUCCUAAGUACCAAAUUCUAACAACUAUGAUUUUUAUCCAACCUACGCAAAGUUGUCAAAUUUAAUCAACUAAAUAAUUAAACUAAUUAUGAAAGCAAUUAAACACGAGAAAAUAUCAAUAAAAACGGACCUAGGAUUUUAUCUUCCCCCUAUGCAAGAAUUGCUCACCCAAAACCCUCAAUUAUGAAAUAUAUGAUUCAUGAUUAAUAACCCGAGACACUAAUUUACUCAUAACCCGCUGUCGCGUGUAUUAUCAGUCUAUUAUUCAUAAACAGUUCACUAUAUGUCUAUGCAAACCAAUUAUGAAUAAAACAUUAACAAACAAGUCUCGUAAAUGGCUACCUAAGGUGAUAUCUGUAUGUCUACGACACCACAUGCAAUUGACACACUCAUCCGGAGAAAACUACUCGAAGGUUCUUCUACUUACCGUCUAAUUAUCAAAAUAGCUCUGUCGAGUCAAUCCCAAUAAUCACAGAUAAAGCACAUAAAUUGAUCAAGUUCAUGCACUAACAAUCAUAACAAGUAGAAGAAAUAAUCAUAAAAUCAUAAUUGCAUAAUCUCAAGAAAACGGGUUCACCAUCCCCACAUAGGGUUCCAACAAAAUCCUAGAUUAAAAACUUAGCUACUCAUAACGACAAACAUAAUAAAAGUAAUAAAAGUCCUUGAUUAAGAAAAGAUAGGUGAAAGAAGAAUUAUGAUGAAGAUUUGUCAAUUCUCCGUCUUCGUUUCUUCGUUCUCUCGCUCCUCUUCCUCUAAGAUUGUGUUCAAAAGUUCUUUAAUUCGUGCUUGGUUUGCCCUUAAAUAGAUGUCCCAACUUGGUAGAUGAUUUUAGGUUUCCUUGUGUGAUUUAAAGUCCAAAAUUGUCUCCAGCGUGUUUUGGCGCGGCUGCGCGAAAAUCAGUGUAAUUCUCAAACGGCCGCGCGAGAAUCGCCGAAACCUUCUGUCCAAAAUCUGCAAUUGGCGCGGCCGCGCCAAAAAUAGGCUAAAUUUGGCACGGCCGCGCGGACCAAUUUUCAACAUAUUUUUGUUUUCUUCCAUGUUUGCCCAUUUUUUGAACUUUUUUGGCUUGUUUCGUACUUGCAACUCCCAAAUCGUCAAGUUGUACCUAAAAUACAAUAAAGCACUCAUUAAGCAUCAUUAAAUCAAUAAAAAUAUACAAAAAUCCUCGUAAGAAAGUAUACAUUGAGUGUAAAAUAUACACUCAACAAUUGUACUAUUGUUGAUACGCAUUUCCUUGGCGAAAAAAAAUACAAGAAGAUUAACAUUUCAGCUCAAAGAAACACUCAGAUCAAACUACAAUCAAGCAAUGAUCUGUUAGAGUAGGUGACCAACAAGCCAACAUGUGGCUGUGGUCUUUCGUAUUUAUUAUUGUAAUAAACGAACCUUUAUUCGUAUUAAUGAUAAAACACCUUGGCAUUCUAUAUCUUUGUCCCUUUGUCACAAGCAUAGAUAUAGUCCUUACAGUUAUUACAAGUACUAGUAAUUGAUCGUUAGGAUCGUGAGAUAUUUACUUAAGUAUUAUAACUGUUAAACGUGUUCCUAGUCGAAGGGUUACGCCACUAAUGAGGAUAUCGGCCUUUCCCGUUAAGACUAGCACUUAGUGUAUGUGUACUGCAUCUCAUCAGUAAACGGUAUUGUGAUAUCGGCAUGCAUAAGUGGGUGCUCGUAAGUUGACGAGUUCACUGAACUCCCUCACCCUAGAAAUCUCUAAGUGGUUCCCAAUAAUCGAGUAGAGAUAUCUAUGGUAUAGUUGUACACCAUUAGUCCUUAUGACCUAGACAUCACCGUGACUUCACUAGAGGACCAGCUGUAUCGUGACCUGUCCCUGAGUUCCACCGAGGACCAUCCCAAGGGCCAGUGUUCGUGCAAUCCGAAAUCUAGUGGGAGGUCUGUGCAUUGUAGUCGGGGAUUCGAUCGCUAGAAUAGUCUUGGAUGUCCUGUGUGUUCUGAAAGUUUGUAAUCAUUCUAAGUCUCUGGCCAGAGCUGACUAAGUGAUGAUUAGAGAAUUCGAUUCUCUAAGUCAUGCACGUGACGAUUACAACACUUGGAACGAUCGCACCCUCAACGAACAUAUAAAGAGGUCUCGAUGAACCAAUGCCUCUAGUUCGAUCGGGACAUAUGUAUCGAAGGGACCGUACUGUACGUUAACUAUAUCUGAAGGUUCUUGCAGGCACUUCAUUUGUAUCUAGGGAAUCAUGACGCGUAGUUGCUAGACGCCAAUCUUGAUUCGUUGGGUGAUUAAGGUGAAACGAGCUUCAUCUUAAUCGUAACUCGAAGGGGACGAGUUUUGACCACAAAGGGUUGUGGGCCCACGGCUAGCUUACACCUGAACCAUCGAGGGUCACACUGCUCGUGCACAUGAGAUCUUUGAAUAAACGGUCAGAGAUAAAAUAGUUUAUCUUUGCAUGAUUGGAAGUCAAUUUGAUUGAGUCCAACAUUCGUAAUUUGGAAUUAUGAAUGAGAAUCAGAAAAGGAAAAGAAUAGGCGAACGUGUUAGUGAACUUUCUAAAUCGGGAAGUUUCCAAAUUUAGAAAGUCCACUGAACUAGGGUUUCCACUUUUGGAAAGUUGGAAAAUAAGAGAUGGCACUCGUAAUGACGAGGAAGUUAUAAUGAUUCCGAAAAUGCAAUCGUUGCAAUUUUUCGGUCAUUGAAUUGAGAGAGACGAGCAAGUAAAGGAACUAACGAGCUUAAGCUGUUGGGCCCAGUCCAACUUAAGCCCGCUAGGGUUUUAUGCAAGGGACUAUAAAUACAUGAUUUAUAGACCUUGCACAUAGAUAACAAACCCUAACCCUAAAGCGGCCGUCCACCUCUCUCUCUCGCGCGGCCACCUCCGCCAUUGACUCCGCCCCGUCGCCGGAAUCGGCCAUCCCUUGGCCGAUCCCAUUCGGUAUUCUUUUCUUUCUCGUUUCUUCCGUUUUAUUCUAACUACUCCGUGUCUAGUGCCACGUUUUAGUAGAUCGAAGUAUACGAGGUGAAAUCCGAGAGGAGGAAGAUCGUAGAUCGAAGAACCGAGGAGCAACGCACGAGCCGAAGCCGCACGCUGCCCCACGCGCCGCCCGGAAGUUCGCGCGUGAAAUUCACGCGCCGCCGUGACCUCACGCGCCGCUGCUGCCGCUGCACCGCUGCUGCCCCGAUUGUACGGAUUGGUUUCCGUAGCAAUCACGACGUGCUAAACGCUCCUACCUCACGCUUCAAGAGGUAAACACGCGAAACCCUAGUUUCGAUUCGAUUAUGUUUAAACUAUUAUUUCAUGUUUGUUUCGUAUGAUUUUAUGUGAUUAUGUGUAAUCGAUUCAAUCAUUGUAAGCAUGUUAUUUGGUUUAAACGCGAGCAUGUUAGUUGAUUUAAAUUCGAUUGAAUUUAUUAGCAUGUAUGUUGUUUUUAAUUUCGCUGGAAGCGCAAAGGUACGCAAUUAAUUGAAUUUAAUUUAUCGGGCAUGUUCUUAUGUGUUUUAAAGUCGUUUGAAUCGCAUAAAUUUUUGUUUUCCGCUGCGUAUGCGUGCCCGAAACCCAACAGUGGUAUCAUAGCUCGUUGCGUAAUUAAUUGCGUUGUAUAAUAUGCUAUGAUUUUAUGCAUGUUCGAUUUAUUAAAGUAGUGAUUGUUGUAUUAUGUAAUUGGGAGUUUUCGUAAGUUUAAAAUAUUUUUGAAAUAUUGUUUAGAAUUUUUCCAGCUUUAAAAUUGUUUAAAAUUGGAAAAUCGGAUCUGAAAUUGUUUUAAAAAUGUCGGUUUUUAAUUGUUCGGAUCGAACCGGUCGAACCGGCCGGUUCGAUGGUUGUGCACGAUUUAGUUGACCGAAUCCACGUGGAUUCGGGUCGGUCAGACCGGUUCCCGGUCCGACUGACCCGGCCCACUGAUUUGGGUCAGCUGGACCGGACAGAACCGGACCGUUUCGGUCCGACCGGUCGGCCGAAUCGGUUAACUGAAAAUAAAUUUUUUUUUUUUUUUUAUUUCAGAUUUCUAAAAUUAAACUUAAAACAAAUUGAUUUUAAUUUUUGGAAAAUUAUUUUCAAUUAAUCCCAAUUAGAUAAUUGGAUCGACAAUCAUCUAUUUUAGUAAAUAGGUGUUAGAUUAAUUAAAUUGAUUUAAAUUGUUAAAUUGAUUUCUAUUAAUAGAACACAUAUAUAAUAUUGAUUAUAAGUUCAACUUAAUUAGUAGUACCUCAACAUUAUUUGAAUGAUUUAUGCUAGUUGAGGUUCUAUAAUUAUUUUGAAAAACCCGAUAAUUAAUUAAUGUAAUUAAUUAUGUAGUUAGGUCGUAUGUUCCUCUUAGGACAAUAUGCGCUUCCAUAUACCUUUAGAGAACAUAGAUGUAGGAAUCACAUAGACCAAUCCAAACCUUCUGAUGAGAUAAAACAUUUUAAUAAAAAUCCCUUAUUCUUUUAAUUAAGAAUCAUUUCAAGCUAUAAAGAAAAACCCAAUCUGUUGAGUUAUUUCUUUCCUUCUGCCAACGGUUGGAUUAUGUGUAGCCCUUUACUAUAGUACAGUAAGCCGUGUUAGCGGGGAGUGCUAUGGUAGAGUAAGCUAUAAUUCAAUUGACAUAAUGAUGAAGGUAGCCGUAGAAAAGGGUUAUGUUGGAUUAACGUGGUCGGCUAGAUUAACUAGGGACUGCAUUAGUUUGGCAUAAUCAAGUUCUAUGAGCAUCUUUGAUUGGUAGGUUAGACUUGACACACGACGAUUUUGAUAUUCGCGAGAUUAACUUAGGUCAUUAUCAAGUGUGAGGAAAAUUAAUUUAGGGUCAUAUUGUGGAUAUGAUUGAUUGUGAUCUACCUUUGGGCAAAUAUAAUCGGGCUAGAUUAACUACGGGUUAUAUUUGUCUAUUGGACCUAAAGCCCAUUAAGAAAAAUCAGUUUUCUCGUUUGUCUACUAGAGGGAAGUGGAACUCGAUAAAAUUAGUGGGAGAACAAUUAAAUAACACAAGUCCAAACAUUUAAUUGUAACAAUCAUUUAACGCGAAUCUGUAAUAAUCCUCUUCUCUAUAUGUCUCAGAUAAUCAUGUCUAAGAAUCCCAUAAUGUCAAUCCUCGACAAUAAACUCAAUGGCCCUAAUUACCUAGAUUGGUUGCGUAGUCUUAAGCUUGUGCUAACUGUUGAGGGGCGUCUCUAUGUUUUGAACGAGAGGCUUCCCGCCACUAUACCUGCCACAGCGACUGAUGCUGAAAAGGAAACUUAUGAAGUUUGGAAGAAAGAUGACACCCAUGCUAGGUGCUAUAUGAUAGCCGCCAUGGAGCCCGCGCUUGCGAGGAAAUAUGAGUCUCACUUGCAUGCUUUCGAUAUAAAGGCUCAUCUCGAUAGCAUGUAUAGUGAGAAUAUUAGGGCAUCGAGGUACGCUGCUACAAAGGAGUUGAUCACAGCGAGAUUGCGCGAAGGGGUUUCGGUCCACGAGCACUGUCUCAAAAUGAUCACUCUCCUUGAAAAGCUAGUGAAUCUUGAUGUCACCCUCACGGCCGAGCUCUCGUUGGAUUUGAUCCUGUUGUCUCUUCCUAGUUCCUAUGAAUCGUUCAUAGUGAACUUCAACAUGAACAAACUAGAUCCUCCCUUGGAUGAGUUAAUGAACAUGUUGGUCAGCUUCGAGUCCACCAUUAAGAAAGAGAAGUCUGUUCUCGUUGCUACUACUUCUGGAAAGAAGAGUUCUUUCCAAAAGAAGAGAAAGGAAAGAGUUCUUUUCCCUAACAGCAAGUUCGAAGUGGGUGAAGGUAGUGGGGGCCCCAAAGCAAAGGUUAGCAAACAAGUUGAUGAUGCUUGCCAUCACUGUGGAAAGAAAGGACAUUGGCGCCGCAACUGCAAGGCUUACCUAAAGCAGAAAGGUUCUGAAAAGGGUACGUAUUUCAUUGACGUAAAUUUGUCUGUCAACUCUUCUUCUUGGGUAUUGGAUACGGGCUGUGGCUCACAUUUGUGCAAUGAUUUGCAGCUAAUGACAAGAAGUCGAAGACUUAGAGCGGGUGAGACCUACCUAAGGAUGGGGAAUGGAGCAAGAGUUGCUGCUGAAGCCAUUGGCACAAUUUACUUAAAUGUUUUGGAUUCUAGUUUUCCUAUUGUUUUGAACAAUUGUUUAUUUGUUCCGUCGCUCAUUAGAAACCUUAUUUCUAUUCCUGUAUUAGAUAUUGAAGGUUUUACUUUUGUUUUUGGAAAUUCGAUUUGCAUUAUACAAAAGAAUGAGAAUUUGAUUUGCAAAGGACGACUAUUAAACAACUUGUAUGAACUAAAUCCAAGUGAAAUACCUAUUAAUGUUAUAUCAGCAAAACGUAAGGAGAUAGAUCAAAACCCCGCACAACUUUGGCACGCUAGAUUAGGUCAUGUCUCUUUAAGAAGGAUGAACGAUUUUGUUAGUGAAGGAUUGUUCUCUUUGGAGGACGUGAAAUCACUACAAACUUGUGAAUCUUGCCUUAAAGGGAAAAUGACCAAGUCACCCUACAAAGGGAAAAUGGAACGAGCCGAGGGUCUUUUGGAUUUGAUCCAUACAGACGUAUGUGGUCCACUAAGUGUUAGUGCGAAGGGUGGAUAUAACUACUUCGCUACCUUUACCGACGAUUAUUCUAGGUUUGGGUAUGUGUACUUGAUGAAGUACAAAUCUGAAACAUUUGAAAGGUUCAAAUAUUUUAGACAUGAAGUAGAAAAGCAACUCGGACGAAGUAUUAAGAAGCUACGAUCCGAUCGUGGUGGAGAAUACUUGAGCAUCGAGUUCAUUGACUAUCUAAAAGAAAAUGGGAUACAGUCCCAAUGGACUCCACCGGGACUCCUCAACUUAAUGGAGUAUCCGAACGUCGGAAUCGAACUUUAUUAGAUAUGGUUCAAUCAAUGAUGGGGUUCACGAACUUACCGGCAUACUUGUGGGGUCAUGCACUCCGUACUGCCGCGUAUUUGCUGAAUAGAGUUAACACCAAAGCAGUUAAAUCCACACCUUAUGAACUUUGGCAUUCCCGGAAACCCAAUUACAAACAUAUUAGGAUAUGGGGUUGUCCCGCUUAUGUGAAGCGAUUAGUGGGAGAUAAGUUGGAUAGUAAAUCCGACUUGUGCUAUUUUGUGGGGUAUCCCGAAGACUCAAUGGGAUACGAGUUCUACUAUGUCAAAGAAGCAAAGACGUUUGUUUCGAGAAAUGCCACCUUUUUGGAAAGGGAGUUUCUAUCCGAUAGAAAGGGCAGCAUGAUAGAACUUGAAGUAGUUCAAGAACCACAAAGUGAAGUUCAAACGCAAGAACAAGUAAUCGAACCAAUACAUCAAACCACUGAUAUACCUCCUGAACCUACGGUACGUAGAUCCGAAAGAGUUCGGAAAAUGCCGGAUAGGUUAUUCCUCCUCGAAAAUGAUGAAGAUCAUGUUGAUCUUGGACGAGAUCCAAGAACAUACAAUGAGGCCUUAUCGGAUGCGGACAUGGGACAUUGGCUAACUGCCAUGAAAUCCGAAAUGGACUCCAUGUACUCCAACAAGGUAUGGACCUUGGUAGAUCCACCCAAAGGAAUUGUUCCUAUAGGCUGCAAGUGGAUCUAUAAGAAGAAAAUUGGAGUUGAUGGAAAGGUAUCGACCUAUAAAGCUAGAUUGGUAGCAAAAGGAUACACUCAAAGGCAAGGUGUUGACUAUGAGGAAACCUUUUCGCCAGUCGCGAUGCUGAAGUCCAUUAGGAUUUUGCUGGCCAUAGCUGCGUGGUACGACUACGAGAUAUGGCAAAUGGAUGUGAAUACCGCCUUCCUUAAUGGAGAUAUUGAGGAAGAAAUUUACAUGGCGCAGCCGGAAGGCUUCAUAUCUUCUGGAAGUGAGCAAAAGGUUUGCAAGCUCCAGCGAUCCAUUUAUGGAUUGAAGCAAGCAUCCCGUAGUUGGAACAUUAGGUUCGACUCAACUAUCAAAGAGUUUGAUUUUGAAAAGAAUCCGGAGGAACCUUGUGUAUACAAGAAGGUUAGUGGGAGGGCAGUAAUAUUUUUAGUGCUUUACGUUGAUGAUAUUCUACUCAUUGGGAAUGACGUAGGAAUGCUGCAACAAACGAAAGCAUGGUUGUCCACACGUUUCUCAAUGAAGGAUUUGGGAGAAGCAUCUUACGUAUUAGGAAUACGCAUCUAUAGAGAUAGAGCAAGAAAGAUGCUUGGCUUAUCCCAAAGCCUGUACAUAGACACCGUUAUGAAACGGUUUAGCAUGGAAGAAUCCAAGAAGGGAUUCUUGCCAAUGUCCCAUGGGGUUCGUCUCUCGAAAUCUAUGCGUCCCCAAACACCUAGUGAAAUCGAGGAGAUGAAAAGGACGCCCUAUGCUUCUGCCAUAGGAAGCAUAAUGUAUGGCAUGCUAUGUACGAGACCCGAUAUUGCGUAUGCUGUGAGUGUCACAAGCAGAUAUCAGUCUAACCCCGGCCCGGCUCACUGGAAAGCCGUGAAAGAUAUCCUCAAGUACUUGCGAAGGACUAAGGAUAUAUUUUUGGUCUAUGGGGGUGCCGAGUUGAAAUUAGAGGGUUUUACCGACUCUAGUUUUCAAUCGGACGUGGACGACUCAAAGUCGAAUUCUGGAUUUAUAUUCACGCUUAAUGGUGGUGCCGUGUGUUGGAAGAGUUCCAAGCAAAGCACGACGGCUGAUUCCACUACCGAAGGGGAAUACAUUGCAGCGUCUGAAGCUGCAAAAGAAGGGACUUGGAUAAGGAAAUUCAUCCAAGAGUUGGGUGUCAUUCCUGAUGCUAGUGAUCCAGUACCGUUGUACUGUGAUAACACCGUAGCCGUGGCGCAAGCUAAGGAGCCACGAUCUCAUCAGAAGUCGAAGCAUAUUCUGAGGAUGUAUCACGUGAUCCGAGAGAUCAUUGAUAGAGGUGAAGUUAAGGUUGAACGAGUCACCUCGGAAGAGAACGUUGCAGACCCCUUCACGAAGCCUUUACCAAGAUCGGUCCAUGAGAAACAUCGAGAGUCGAUGGGAUUGCGGUUUAUGGGUAGUUGGCUUUAGGUCAAGUGGGAGAUUGUUAGAGUAGGUGACCAACAAGCCAACAUGUGGCUGUGGUCUUUCGUAUUUAUUAUUGUAAUAAACGAACCUUUAUUCGUAUUAAUGAUAAAACACCUUGGCAUUCUAUAUCUUUGUCCCUUUGUCACAAGCAUAGAUAUAGUCCUUACAGUUAUUACAAGUACUAGUAAUUGAUCGUUAGGAUCGUGAGAUAUUUACUUAAGUAUUAUAACUGUUAAACGUGUUCCUAGUCGAAGGGUUACGCCACUAAUGAGGAUAUCGGCCUUUCCCAUUAAGACUAGCACUUAGUGUAUGUGUACUGCAUCUCAUCAGUAAACGGUAUUGUGAUAUCGGCAUGCAUAAGUGGGUGCUCGUAAGUUGACGAGUUCACUGAACUCCCUCACCCUAGAAAUCUCUAAGUGGUUCCCAAUAAUCGAGUAGAGAAAUAUAUGGUAUAGUUGUACACCAUUAGUCCUUAUGACCUAGACAUCACCGUGACUUCACUAGAGGACCAGCUGUAUCGUGACCUGUCCCUGAGUUCCACCGAGGACCAUCCCAAGGGCCAGUGUUCGUGCAGUCCAAAAUCUAGUGGGAGGUCUGUGCAUUGUAGUCGGGGAUUCGAUCGCUAGAAUAGUCUUGGAUGUCCUGUGUGUUCUGAAAGUUUGUAAUCAUUCUAUGUCUCUGGCCAGAGCUGACUAAGUGAUGAUUAGAGAAUUCGAUUCUCUAAGUCAUGCACGUAAGGAUUACAACACUUAGAACGAUCGCACCGUCAUCGAACAUAUAAAGAGGUCUCGAUGAACCAAUGCCUCUAGUUCGAUCGGGACAUAUGUAUCGAAGGGACCGUACUGUACGUUAACUAUAUCUGAAGGUUCUUGCAGGCACUUCAUUUGUAUCUAGGGAAUCAUGACGCGUAGUUGCUAGACGCCAAUCUUGAUUCGUUGGGUGAUUAAGGUGAAACGAGCUUCAUCUUAAUCGUAACUCUAAGGGACGAGUUUUGACCACAAAGAGUUGUGGGCCCACGGCUAGCUUACACCUGAACCAUCGAGGGUCACACUGCUCGUGCACAUGAGAUCUUUGAAUAAACGGUCAGAGAUAAAAUAGUUUAUCUUUGCAUGAUUGGAAGUCAAUAUGAUUGAGUCCAAGAUUCGUAAUUUGGAAUUAUGAAUGAGAAUCAGAAAAGGAAAAGAAUAGGCGAACGUGUUAGUGAACUUUCUAAAUCGGGAAGUUUCCAAAUUUAGAAAGUCCACUGAACUAGGGUUUCCACUUUUGGAAAGUUGGAAAAUAAGAGAUGGCACUCGUAAUGACGAGGAAGUUAUAAUGAUUCCGAAAAUGCAAUCGUUGCAAUUUUUCGGUCAUUGAAUUGAGAGAGACGAGCAAGUAAAGGAACUAACGAGCUUAAGCUGUUGGGCCCAGUCCAACUUAAGCCCGCUAGGGUUUUAUGCAAGGGACUAUAAAUACAUGAUUUAUAGACCUUGCACAUAGAUAACAAACCCUAACCCUAAAGCGGCCGUCCACCUCUCUCUCUCGCGCGGCCACCUCCGCCAUUGACUCCGCCCCGUCGCCGGAAUCGGCCAUCCCUUGGCCGAUCCCAUUCGGUAUUCUUUUCUUUCUCGUUUCUUCCGUUUUAUUCUAACUACUCCGUGUCUAGUGCCACGUUUUAGUAGAUCGAAGUAUACGAGGUGAAAUCCGAGAGGAGGAAGAUCGUAGAUCGAUGAACCGAGGAGCAACGCACGAGCCGAAGCCGCACGCUGCCCCACGCGCCGCCCGGAAGUUCGCGCGUAAAACUCACGCGCCGCCGUGACCUCACGCGCCGCUGCUGCCGCUGCACCGCUGCUGUCCCGAUUGUACGGAUUGGUUUCCGUAGCAAUCACGACGUGCUAAACGCUCCUACCUCACGCUUCAAGAGGUAAACACGCGAAACCCUAGUUUCGAUUCGAUUAUGUUUAAACUAUUAUUUCAUGUUUGUUUCGUAUGAUUUUAUGUGAUUAUGUGUAAUCGAUUAAAUCAUUGUAAGCAUGUUAUUUGGUUUAAACGCGAGCAUGUUAGUUGAUUUAAAUUCGAUUGAAUUUAUUAGCAUGUAUGUUGUUUUUAAUUUCGCUGGAAGCGCAAAGGUACGCAAUUAAUUGAAUUUAAUUUAUCGGGCAUGUUCUUAUGUGUUUUAAAGUCGUUUGAAUCGCAUAAAUUUUUGUUUUCCGCUGCGUAUGCGUGCCCGAAACCCAACAUGAUCAUACACAUAAUAAGGCAAAAUAGAAAAUCCUAAUUUUGAAUGAACCCUAGCACGAAAAGAUGAAUCUAUAAAUAGGAUGAUUCAACUCAAAUUAAAACACAAUCAAUGGAGGAAGCGGCAUCUUUAUUUCACUAUGAAUCAACAAGAGUUUACAGCUUUCAAUAAAUACAACAAGAUCAACACAUCAGAGUUCACAGUUUCUUCUCUCUCUGAUUUUUUACCCCUCUCUCUUAUGAUUACAAUGUAUUUUGUUUCUCUCUCUUAAUCUAACCAAAUACAGUUGCUCCUUCCUCUUUAUGUAUCUCCCAGAAGUCAGCUUCUCCUCCAAAUUGUCAGAUCACAUGCCUUGAUCUCCCUCAGCCAACCAGAGUGAGCUUCACCUCAGCUUAGUUGGUUAGUUUGUUAUUAGCAUGUGCUCAAUCCUACGUACGUGGAUCGUCGAAUUAGUUGAUUAGCUGGUACUUCUUAAAUUCACUAGCAUCACAACCCUUCAUUAUGACAAGUUGAUGAUCAAUUCCAACGUACUUUAAAAGAAAAGGAAAAGAACAAACAAUAAUAAUAAUAUCCUCGCAUAUAGUCCAAAUACUCAUUUAGGUGCAAGUUUAUUACAUUAUCACUACACUCCAAAAUACUAAUAAUGUAUAACUUUGAGUGCGGCAAUGUCAAUUGUCAAGUCGUUCUAUACGUGCUGUUAAAUUUGAGACUUUAAUCAAAAUUAUGCAAUUUUAUUAAGAGUUCAUUUAUGUAUUUCAGCACAAAAUGUUGUAUGAUACAAUUUAUGCAACUUUUUGUGAUUAAUAUUUAAAAUAUUGAACCAAAGAUUUCCAAUUUUGUAAAGACGGUCUAAACUCACGGUGGAACAAUAAGACCAUUAAAUAUGAUUAUUUCUAUGCUACACCCGGUAAAUAUUAUAUUUGGUGGAGUUUUACCGUUGAUCUACAUACCAAAGUGUGUGUAAAUAUUUAUAUAUUUACUAAUGGUAAAUAUCUACCUGGUGUAGUUCACCUGAUGUAGCAUAGUAUAAAUCAUUAAAUUUCAUAUUUAGACGAGUUCCACUAGUUAAAAUUUUAAAUAGCAAUUUGAAUAGACAAAGAAAAUAGGAGAAAUUAAUCUUAUGAAUCUAAGUAGUCUUUAGCCAUUAAUUUUAAUAUUUUAUGGAAAAUAGCUACAAACUAAAAUAUAAUAUGAUUAUGAAUUUAUUAUUGAAACUGGGUAUUUUUAAUGGGACAAAUACACUAGAAUAUAUAAUAAAAUUAAGAAAAAACCAAUAAUAAGGGAAAAUGAGGGAUAACCCACUUGUUGGGUAAAAUAAUAUAAUUUGGGCCCAAUUUAUAUUUGAACAUUUGUAAACAAACUCAUUUAAUAUUUUCUUAAUUGUGUGACCCCCUAAGCUUAUGUUUAUGCCCAUUAUACCUUUUUUUUCCAUAUUUUUUUCUCCUACUUUCUCUCUCUUCUCCUUAUUUAUCUCUUAUCCGUCAUUUUAUAUUCUCCAUUCAUUUCUCUCCCUUACUUUUUUUUCCUCACUUUUGACGUGUUAUUCUUUUAUUCUUCUUCUUCUCUCCCCUCUCUCCUCUCUCUCUUCCCCAACUUCCUCUCUUCUCGUAUCUCUUCUUCUCUCUCCUCUCUCCUCUCUCUCUUCCCCGACUUCCUCUCUUCUCGUAUCUUUUUUCUCCCUCUUUUCCUCUCUUCUUUUCUCUCUUCUCUCUCUUUCUUUCUCUUCCCUCAUUUCCUCUUUUCUCAUCUGUUUCUGUUUCAUUUUUUUCUCUAUUUCUUCUCACUACUUUACCUUUUCUUCUAUAUCUCAUCUUUUUUUUUGUUUAAAUCAAUCUAUUUUCUAUUCUAUGAAAUUCAUGUUUUCACCGGAGAUGAGAUUUUUAUCAUGAGUAUUCAAUUUUAUAACACCAUAGUAUCUUAAAUUGAAAAAUAAUAUAGUGAAUUAAUGGAAAUAUUAUAGUUAACUGCCAAUUUUUUUAUAGUUGACAUCGGAACAAUUAUAGUUGACUAUCUAAUUUUUGUAGUUGACUCUGGCAACAAUAUAGUUAACUACCAAUUUUUUAUAGUUGACAUCGUAAAAAUUAUAGUUGACUAUCUAAUUUUAUAGUUGACUUUGGGAACAAUAUAGUGAACUAUCCGAUUUUAUAGUUGACUCUGAGUGUAGAUGACUAUAAUAUUUAAUGUUUUUCGACAACAAUGAUCUCUUCUUUGUUGUGGACUCUGAUAAAACAAAUUUCAUAGGAAACAAAUAUUUAUGAGUCAACAAAUAGUGCGACCAUAGAUCUGUAGAUCUAAAAAACAAGCUUGUUUACAAACUCCAUUUUUGACUAAUCAACCAUGGAAGAAUUCCGAACCGUCGCAUAUGGUCGUUGCGUACCGUUGCAUACCGUUUAUGUAGGACACUUCGAUUUGUCCUUCGGAGUCGCUGAGAAGGGUGCACAAAAUAGAAAUUAUGUGGUACAUGUACAUAAAUUAGGUUAAUAGUUGUCGAGGGGAGCGAUGGGUGUAUAAGAAACUACCUGUCUUCUUCUUGCUACCUUUCACCAUUAUUGUCGACCUGUAUUUCUCAACGAUUCCCACACAAUUGUUAAUUGGUUUUUUUUCUUUUGAAGAAAUUUAGCAAACUAGGGCAUUGAUGCGACUGGGAAAUGAUUCGAUAUAUUUGCAGGACCCAUGGGUCUUCUGCUGCCAUGUGUCAUUUCUUGUAUUUUAUAAUAUAUUCCCCAACUAUUGUAGGCGUUUUAGAAAAAUACAAAAAAAAGACAUGUGACAGCAGAAGACCCACCCAAUAUUUAUCACUGAGUGUAGGGUCGAAUGAGCCAACAUGCAGGGAGGGCAACCUGUUAUAUUUCCUUCUUCUCAUAUUAUGUGUCGUUUGCUUUGAAGAAAAAUAAAAUAUAUUUCAAAUUAUUUGUCAAGAAUUCUAAUAGAGAAUUUAUUAUGCAUUUCUCAAUUUUAGACUUACUGUUCUUAGUUUAUCGAGAGAAUAUCAACUGUAAAAAAAAUAAUAAAAAGGGUAUUUUAGUCACUUGGUUAGUGUUUUUUUUUAUUAUUUCUUUAUAGAAUUCAUGCGCAAUUAUUAGUUUUCGUCUCAAUACUUGUAGAUUAAUAUGGGAAGAAUGAAGUAUAAAUUAAUUGUGCAAAUCUCUCAAUAAGGGAAUGUCUAGUUCCAAUUGUUAUGAUUGAAAUUCCACAUCCAUUUGUCUUGAAUUUCAAAAUCAAAAUAAGAUAGCAUUAGCAUAAGAAGAAAACGAUAUCUUAUUUAUUCUCAUGACUUGAAAAUACAAUGUAUUAAUUAUGUGAAACAUACAAAUACAUCAAUCAUAUGCCAAACUUCCUCAAACAUUAACUAGAUGUUGUUAGGCAUGUGGACCGAAGUACGACGUAUCGAUCAAUCUUAUUACCUAGUAAUUUCUCUAUCGAAGAAAGAUUACUAAAUGGUCUUAUUCUUGAAAAUGUAUACGAAAACUACCGCUUUUUAUUUGUGUAGUAGAGACGAUUGAAAACGGUAAUUAUGCACUUUGGUUGUUAAUUGAUGAUAUAUGUACGGGAAGGGAGAGGUUUAAGAUGAUGAUGGAAAGACAAGUUUUCGGAAUUAGUAAAUGACUCAUAUGACAUUUUUUUCAGUAUGUUAAUGGUCAAUCGUUUAAGGUGAUCGCGCAAUUGGUGGUGGUGGUGGUGAACAUAAUCUUCGAAAUACUAAGCAUAUACGUGGAGGUGGCGGUGGUGACGGAGGUGGAGGUGGUGGGGAAGGAGGCGGAGGUGGAGAAGGUGGUGGCGGAGGAGAGGAGGGGGGUGGUGGUGGUGGUGGUGGUGGGGGUGAACUUAAUCUUGGAAAUACUAAACAUAAACGUGGAAAUGGAGGUGGAGGUGGUGGGGAAGGAGGUGGAGAAGGUGGUGGUGGAGGAGGGGAGGGGGGUGGUGGUGGUGAUGGCCAUCGACAAAAUAUCGAUGAUGGUGGUGGACGUGGAGAUGUAGACCCAAGUGGCGGUGGUGGUGAUCGGCAAAGUAUCGAUGUCGGUGGUGGUGGCGGUGGAGAUCUAAGAGCAUCUCCAAUGGAUAGGGGUGUUUUCCCCCUCCCCUACCCCUCCCCCUCCCUUUCCCUCUACCUACGUCGUUUCCAACCGUUCGAUCUUUUAUUACUUUUUUUCCAAUUCUCACUCUCACCACGAUAAUAAUAAUAAAAUGAUAAUAAAAAACACAAUAAUAAUAAUAAUAAUAAUAACAAUAAUAAUAAUAAUAAUAAUAAUAAUAAUAAUAUUAUUAAUAUUAGUAUUAAUAACUAAUAAUUAAUAAUAAUUAUUACUAAUAAUAAUUAAUAAUAAAAAUAAUGAUAAUAAUAAUAAUAAUAAUAAUAAUAAUAAUAAUAAUAAUAAUAAUAAUAAAUAUAAUAAUAAUAAUAAUAAUAAUAAUAAUAAUAAUAAUAAUAAUAAUAACAAUAAUAACAAUAAUAAUUAUAAUAAUAAUAAUAAUAAUAAUAAUAAUAAUAAUAAUAAUAAUAAUAAUAAUAAUAAUAAUAAUAAUAAUAAUAAUAAUAAUAAUAAUAAUAAUAGUAAUAAUAAUAAUAAUCAUAAUUUAAUUAUAAUAAUUUUACUUAAGUUUUUAUUUACGAAUUCAGUGUUUGAUUUUCUUAAAAUUAUGUUGCUAUUUCAAAUUUAUAAUAAAAAUUAAAAUAAUCGUAUUUGUUAUUUUUUAUAAUUUUUACAAUUAUAAAAAAAAGUAUAUUAACAAAUAAAAUAAAAUAAAAUAAAACCAAAUAAAGAAACAAAAUAAAAUAAUAAUAAUAAUAAAAUAAUUACGAAUAAAGGUAUAAUUCAAAAGGAAAUAAUAAAAUAAAAGAAAAAGAAAUGAAAACAAAAAUAUUAAAAGUCUUUAUUUACAAAUCAAGUGUUUGAUUUUAUUGAAAUUAUGUGAUAUUAAAUUAUGUAACUAAAUAAUUGAAAUAAAAUAAAAUAAUCUUACAAUAUAAAAAUAAAUACAUAAAAAGGAAUAUAAAAAAACUAUAAAAUUGACAAGCAAAAAAGAGAAAAUAAAAAGGAAAAGAAACCAAGAAACUAACGUAUAUAACAAGUAAAAAAGAAAAAAGAAAAGAAAAAAAAAUAAAAAAAAAUUAAGGAGCGUGUAUCACACGCCCCCUUCCAGCACGUGAGUUGGAAGGGGGCAGCUCAAGGAAUUCAUCCCUCCCCCCUCUCCCCACCCCUAUCCACUCCAGACCCACACCCCCUUAACCCACCUCCAUUGGAGUUGGUUUUACCACCCCACCCCAACCCAUACCCAUCUCCAUUGGAGAUGGUCUAAGUGGUGGUGGUGGUGGUGGAGAACGACAAAAUACGGAUGGCAAUAAUGGAGGGCAGGGUCGAAUUUGAGCAUUAAUAGUUGCAACCGAUAUAGACAGAAGCACUAUUAAAACCCAUAAUCUGAGCGCCAUAUUGAUUGCCGCAAGAAUUUUGCGAAAAUGGAUUAAUAUUUUCUUGAUAUAUAUAGGCAUCAACCAUUUUUUGUCCAUUCUUGAAGUAUAAUAACUAAUUAGUUUUUUCAUAAUUUUUCUACACUAGAUGGGCUAUAGUCAUUAAUCUAAAUUAUGCAAGUUGUUUAAUAGUUGACUUAUUUCUUGAAGUGAUGCUAUUUACACUACCAAAAAAAACUCUCUAUUCACAACCAUCUUCCUCUUUCUGCAAAUUAGUGUACACCAAAUUCAAGAUUUUUAGUUCAACAAUGAGAAAAAUCAAAGAAAAUGCUAUGUAAAACAAUUUAUUUAAUAAAUCGCAUCAUUGACAGCUUUAAAUAUCCGAUAAUAUCUACGAUCAGAUAUAAAUACAGCCGGAAAAAUAAAAUAAAAAAAGAACCUGGGUAAUUAAAGAAUAACCAAUUCAACACGCUGGGGUAUUUCUGCUCCAAGCUGUUCCCGGGAGCGACUCCUUACAUUUUCAAUAGGAAUUGAACUAACAGGCGGGAUUUUUUCGGUGAAAAAAAAGGCCAGGGAUCAAUAAUUAAUUUCUCGAUAUUGACAAAGUUCUCCAGAAAGUACCUCGCGAGUAGGACAUGAAUUUCACGAGCACGAUAGCCACAAAACUUGACAACUUUAAGUUGCUCUUGGUGAAACCUCGUAUUCAUACUACUCUUCAACGUUGAAAUGGAAGGCGAGUGUAACUGAAAAACAAAAAACGAAGAUAUUUAACCAAAAUAUCGGCAUGAACUCAAAAUCCUCAAGAUUGAAAUUCUUUGCUCCAAUUCGAUCAAUUCAAAUUCGAAACUGGGAAUAUAGGACUCGGGUUAUUUGUUUUGAUUCAGUUACAUAUAUUUUUUUUAUUGUUAUUGACAUACAAAAUAAACGCACACAAUAUAUUUAUUACCUUUAAAACAAAUUCAUGUAUGCAAGGUGCUGCCCUUAUAAAGUAAGGUAGUAGAUCGACACUUUGUUGAGUCAAAUCCCGAUAUCCUACGACCAACUUCUUCAAUCUAGGCAUUUCAGGGAACUCGUAAAACUCGAUACCUUCCUGUGAUUUUAAAUAAAUUCACCAAAAAAUAAUAGUAAUUAUACAACGAAUAAAAUAAAACAAUAGCAAAUAAACAACCCACAAAAAAUAAAAAUAAAAAAAUUCAAUUUUCGUCUUAACUAACUAACCUCUGGAUUUUUCAGCACCGACAAGUUAAGAACCUCCAAUUGCAAAUUGCAGCAAGAAAUCGCGUUACAUAAAUUUUCACCGGAAAUUUCACCAAAGCCCCAAGGAAGAGACAGCUCAACAAGCAUCGGAACAUUUUCGAUUAAGAGUUCUUCAAGACUUUGAACAGUAAGCGAAACAAGAUUUGGUGCUGAAACCCUAACGAGUUUCAAAUUCCGGCAGUAACAUAUCUCUAAGCGUUUCAAAACGAGCGACGAGCCACAAACUUCGACAAUCGACAAUUCUUUCGAUUCGUGGACAAUCAAUUCUUCGAGCAAAGGGCAGUUACGUAAAAAGAACUCAAUCGCCCCACCAUCCACAUCGAUAUAUUCCAAAGUCAACGCUUUGAGGGGCUUAAAGUCAACACUAAUGCUCCGAGCGAGAAACUCGUGCGGGAAAGCACAAGUUAGGCCAGGAUAGCUUAAACUCUCGUCGAACUUUGGCGAAAAAUUCAAUUCCAAGAUUGGAACUUUUUUGGCGGAAGCAUAUUCGAGCCACUGAGUGACUUCAUCCACAAGUAACGUAUACUCAUUGUAUCGCCUUUUAUCGGAACAACUUAUAUCAUAACGGAUUAUAAAUUCGUCCAAAGUGACGGCUUCAUGGGAUUGGAGGACGAAGUUCACCCGAUUUACAAACUUGCCCCUCUCCACUUGGGACAACUUUUUGCGGUUUGCAGUUCGUCAACUGCGCGGCCAAUGUACGCAUCGAACUUGAGAGAAGAGGUGUGUUUCCACAAGUUUAUCCAACGGGACGAAAGAACACUAGUGCGUUCAGCUUCAAUUGGCGAUAGGAAAGAUAGGAUAGCCACGAGAAUGUCAUCCGGUAACCGAUUUAUCCGAUCAUUAUCGAACUAUAGCACAAAAAAAAAAGAUUAAAAAAAAUUCCAUCAGAUAAAAAAAAAAACAUUGCGAUUGUAUUAUUGGACGGACGAACAAAUAAUUUUCCCAAGAGAUAAGAUAGGAUGAGAUAAAAUAAUAUUUCGGGCCGACCCGGAAAAUUAUAGGAUUUACCAAACAUCAAACAAAGUCCAAUUAUUGAAUUAAUCAUGGUACUAUCCCCAACCAAACGAGACCUAAGAGGAUAAUUUUUUUUCAUUCUCCCCACUACGAAAACACUCUGGCUUUUGCACAUUGCUGUUUUCAUAGAAAGGAAACUACCAGACAUAAUCCCCUCAUAACUUAAUAGGGCAAAUUACGGUCACCCCUCUGAGGUAUGGCCAAAUUACAAAAAACCCCAUCUUGUUUAGGUAAUUACAGCCACCCCUCCUUUUAAAUAGUUUUACAUAAAAUUGAUGUAAUUCGGUUAUUUACCGAAGCAAAUCGUAUAUUCAGUUCGGUAAACAUUAUGAAAUGUUGGCGUACCGAAAUUUCGAUUCAAUUUUACCGAUUUAACAUCCCUAAAUUUACCUGUAGAGGGGUUUUUUCGUAAGAUAAUACGUAGUUGAGGAAGGUGGCUAUAAUUACCCAAACAAGAGGGGUUUUUUUAUAAUUUGACCAUAACUCAGGGGUGGCCGUAAUUUGCCCUAACUUAAAUACCAUUGUGAUAUUUUCAUCAUAUUCUGUAACAAUUAAUUUGAUGAAUAAAGACGAAAAGAAAAUGAUUUUGAUUCAGCAAAAAACUUAAUUCCCUUUUUCCCUUAUUCAUCUCAAUCAACAGGACUUCCAAUUCAUAGCAAUAUACAAAAUUGGUGAUCAUAAUCCCCACAUAAUUUAAUCAAUUAAUUUAUUAAUCUUCCUUUUCUUCAAAUUGAAGAAAGAAAAACAAAAAUUAGGGUUUGGUUGCUAAAUUUAGUAACAAAAAUCGGAUAACAAGGCAACAGUUUUAAUGGAAGCUGUCCUUCAUCUUGGAUUGAAACUCAGAAUCAAUUUCCAAACGACAAAAAACCCUUGAAAUUGCAACAAUAAUAAAUUCUCCAAACCAAAAUAUAAUUAGUAAUUUUUUUAAUUUAUUUUUUUUCUCUGAAGCGAUUUUGUCGCAGUGAAAUUGUAACAUGAACCGGUAAGAAGAAAUAAGUUCGGGCCGCUGCUCUUGGAGCUAGGGGUGAACAUAUACCCGCUUGACCCGCCCAUUUGUACAACAGUUUUUCUUCAAACCCGACCCGCACCCAUGCCCACAAUUUAAGUAUAAAUCUGAUAAUUCAACUUUUUCUUUCCCAUCUUCUUCACUCUAUUCCCAAAACCCAAUUUUACUAUUCUGAUUCUUCUAGUUUUAUACAAUCCACAAUCGUUGCUAGAUUCACCACCAUCGGCUAAAAAGAUUUUCGGUGUUAUAAACUCAAACACUUUAGAUUGUGGAAUCAUUUCGUCUUAUUUCCACCGUAUUAUUAACACCAGUCUUUUUUUUUCUACUUAUUCACGGGUUGGUUCAGUUGGACUCUCUUUUAUAUAUAUGUAUUGCGAAUUAGCUUAUUUCUACUCAACUGAUGUUGGAUUGGAUGUACAUUAUUUAGAAUUAAAAAAAAUUGUAAUCCAUUUGCUCUUUUCACCAGCCCCCCGCAACCCGACGAACCCGAACUGUGCGGUUUUCAAGAAUAACUAGGCAGGUGCGGGUUGUGGUUUUUGUAACCCGCCUGUUUUCGGUCGGGUUAUUUUUUUUCUUGUUUGAGCUUCUAGAGAAAAAUGCCGUCUCUUCAAUCAACAUUACCCCCUGAGCUCGCCAACAAUGCUAUCAGGGUUUGAUUUUUAUUUUUUUCCUUCUUGUUUUAUAUCAGGGUUAUUAUUUUUUCCGUUUACUUUCUGAUUUUUAAUCGAUUUACAGAUCCUUUCUUUUAUAUCCUGGUUAUAUGCUACUAGGGUUUAUGAGCUUUAUGCUGGAACCGACUUGGUGUUUUGAUUAUUCUCUACUUUCAUUUGUAAUUUUCUUGACAAAAUUAAUUUAAAGAACGAAUUCUUAUAAACAAUUAAUUUUGUAUCUCUCUUCUACCCCUUCUCAGUCCACUCUUCCUCAUUCAUCAUACCUUUUCAAUAUGAGCGCAUUUCUCUAUGUAGUCAUAGGCUUAAUUCAGCACAGGAUUCUCGAAUUUUAACAUUUUUUUUUCUUAUUUUUAACAUUUCCCCCUUUCCCUCAUUGCAGCUUUAUCGUGAAUGCUUGAGACGAGCUAAAUAUAUUGGCCAAAAGGUGCAGUGCUCUCAGCUUUAUUAUGUCUUGGUGAUAUACAUGGAAUUUAUAUAUGUAUGAUUUAUGAUUGAACUGCUAUAUGGAAUUCGUGAUAUUUAUGAUUGGGAUAACACACUAGAAAAAUUGUUCUUCUAAAUCUUGUCCUAACAAAAUGGCUUGUCGACAGUAGUUGCUGAAACUAGAAUUUGAUGCUCAACUGCAUAUUUUAUAUGCACGUCAAUCUAUGGAUCUAUUAAUGAUGUGUAUUGGUUUGUAAUUAGAAUGUGACUAGAUUUAUGAAUUGAAAUUUGUAUCAUCUGAUUCUUAUGCUUUGUGGAAGAUUCUUGAGACGAGAGCUUGAAUUGGUUUUGGUGCAAUGCAUAGCUGUUUGGCUGUUUCUGAUAUUCAUAGGCUAUAGUUAUUAGUUAAUCAGGAACAAUAAUUGGCUUGUCCGCUAGGGGGAGUACAUUAUUAGAUGCAUCCCCACAUACAAGUUGUCGUUUUUGUAGCUAUGUUAUUCUACUACUAUUUGUUCAUGCUUCAUAUGAUGGAUGUGGUGACAAAAUUUAUUCGUAAGAUAGUUGAAUGAAGUGGCAGGAUAAAUCAUCUCUAAUUUUUCAUUGGUAAAUAUUGAAUGAACAAAAUUAAAAUGUCAUAUUGCUUCUGAAAUUUGUUAUAUUCCUUUUCUUGUUUACAUAGUAAAGCGAUUUAGUUCUUCGAGAGUGCUUCAACUUAUAUAGAAUAUAGAGUAAUGUAGCUCCUUUGAUCUACUACUUGAACACAUAAAUACAAUACUGAACUUCUUACCGGUAUGGUUAGAGAGCAGUUUAAAAAGCACAUGCACGAGACAGAUCCAGAGAAAAUUCAGAAUCUCAAGGAUGAGUAAUUUCCACUUUGCUUAUAUAUAAUUUGAAUAAUUUGCUUAUUGGUGAAGAAUUACUGCCUUAACCAUAAAAACUGGGGAAAAAGAUGUCUAGAAAAUGUUGUUUUUACUUUACUUUUUGAGUUUGCUCAUUGUUAUGUGACAAUGCUGCGAGGGGAUUGAUAAACCACAUGCUAUACGAGUCAGAGAACUUGUCUGGGAGAAAAUUCAGCAAAAGCUCGUCAACCUAAUUCGAAGCUCAACUUUGAACGUUUACCUGAUAAUUAAUUAGUGCCCAACCCAAGUUUUGGUAUUACAGAAGCUUUUGAUGAGGCAUAUUUCUGUGUCGUUCAACACGAGGCGUGCUCUGGAAACUGGUUUUAUGCAUAAAUUGCGAGAAG